CUUCAUCUUCAUCUUCUUAUUCUUUUGUAUAUAUAUAGAGUAUAUGAAGCUAGGGAGUAUGUUCUGAAUUUGAACUAAAGAACCAUGUCCUUAAAUAAAGAGCUAGAGUUACUAAACUCUUACUCCGAAUUCUUUUAUAAAUUGAAGUCUCAAACUCCCUGGACUUUCCUAUUCUGGGAAGGAAAAGGGUGUCCUAUCACCUAUGUCGAAAGUGUGUAGGAUUGCUAUCUGCAUAGUGGCCGUGAUAAGCACAGAGGCGGCGGACAAGGAGGUGGUGGUAAUAAAUCAAAAUCAAAAUCAAAAUCAAAAUCAAAGGGAUUAUUAUUAGUGGAUAAAAGAAGACCUAAAUCACUAUCUAUUAAGAACCAGGGUAAUAAACCUAAAUCUGUUUCUCUUAAAAACCAAAUUCGAUCAACUGAAAGAAUGCUACUUCGUAAGGUAAUAUUUUACUUGUUUUAAUUCAUAAAAUUUAAAUUAUUUGUGCGCCUCUCAAAUGUUUUUUUUUUUUUUUUUUUUCCAUCAAGAGUCUUCCCUCUGAAGUUAAAGAUGCUUUAGAAAAGAAACUACAAGAUCUCAAGAAGCAACAAGAUCUUCAAACUCGUUUGGCUGUAGAGCGCAAAUUAUUUUUACGGGAUAGAAAGAUCAAGUUUUUUGGUACCUUUUAUUAUUAUCUGCAUACAUACAUCACAUACAUACACAUUGUUGAUUGGCCUUUCUGUGUUAUUUGACUUAUGGAAUUUAUUAUAUGUUCUUUAUUCAGAGAGAAGAAAAAUCGAGAGGAGAAUAAGGCGUUUGGAGAAAUUGCAGCGCACUUCUAAUAACAACCAGGAUGUAGAUGUUUCUGAUCAACUUUCAAAACUAAAAGAAGACCUUGAAUAUGUUCGGGUAAGAAUUUUUUUACAGUAUUAGUGACUCAUGGCUGUUAUUUGUAAUUGAAAUAUUUAUAAUGACUGAAACCUUGGUACACAUGUUUGUGAUAGCAAUAUAGGGAUACCAGGCCUUAUAACACGACCAAAUAGCAAACUCAUCAAACAUUUCCAAUGGAUAUACUCUUAACUUAGAAUUUUAGUCCAUUGGUGUUUUAUUGUGUUAAUUAGUUUUACAGUUAUCAUUGGUGUUUUAACAACAAAAAGUAAAAAAAAAAGUGUUUUGUACUUUAUGAGGAGUGAGAACCAUUAGAAAGGGUUAUUAGAUUCUGUCAUCUAGGUUUCCAUUCUGAUUAAGAAAACUUUUUGCACGGACCAUUUAGGUUAUUACUAAAAUCCUGCUUAUUGCAAUCACAUGGAUAAAUUUGAUGAUGUUGUCGUUUUGAUAUGCAGUUCUUCCCCAAGACUGAAAAAUAUGUAUCUUUAUUCAUUGGAGGUGACGAUGCAGACACUGUUGAUAGAAGAAAGAGCUUGCGUGAGAAGAUUAAGAACAAUAUCAUGGCUGCAGCUGCUAGUGGAAAGGAUUUAGAAGGUAACUUUUUUUUAAGAAAAAAUCGGUUGGAAUUUUCAUAGUAGAGUUGUAUACAUUUCUUCUGAAAUAUCUCUGUUAGGUUCAUACAUUAUGCACACCUAAUCUGUUUUGGUGGUAUUAUGACUAUUAUCUCCUGUUCUUGCUAGCAUUUUAUCGACAACAAGCUUUUUAAUUGAUAAAAAAACUCUCUUUCUCUCUAUACUAAAUAUAUAUUUAAAAGUAGUUCAACUACUGGGAAUACCGAUAUACGUACUUUUAUUUUGCUAACUUAAUGACUUAUUAUGUUGUUGAAUGAUAUUGUUUUACAGAAACAGGGAGUGAGGAUGAUGGUCUCUUGGACAUGAGCGACGACGAUUUCUUUUUGGCCGGAAGCUCAAGUGAUGAGGCAGAUGCAGAUGAUGAAUGGACAGACAAAAGCGCAAGGUACAAUAGUACUUUGAAUCUCUUAAUAUGGGAAUUUCAAGAGACUUAGUUAAUGUGAUAAUGAAAUAUGUAGAAUCUUAUUAAGACAUGUAUCGUUGUAUUUUCUAUUAGCCAACCUAAAUUCCUGAGUUUGUCUGUUCUUGUUAAAAUUCAUCUUAGAAAUGAUGUCAAUCUGAUGGUAUAAAGUGGAAUACAGAUGAAACAUGCAGAAAAAAUAAAUAAACUUUGGAAAGUAUACAAAGAAGAAAGAGGUUUAUCAGCCUCAAGGCUAACCUCAAAGUUGUAGGGCAUUUAGCAAGUGCAUGAGUCUUACUCCUUGAGGUUGAGCUUCAUUCCCUUUUGUAUCUAAGAUCACUUCAUUAAAUACUUCAAAUUAGCUGCAGUCUACCAUAGGUAAUCUGAAGCUCCAUGUUAUUGUCAUUAAUGUCAGUAAUAAUUUGAUAGUCUCUAUGUGACCAUGAAAGUAUGGCAUUUUCUGAACUAUGAAGUAUGGUGUCAACUAGUUAAUGUUAAGUCUAUAUUUUGUUUGACACUCAAACCAUAUCCUAGAUGACGUAGUAGAAUUCAUUGACAUGUUUGCUCAUCACGCAGUCACAACCUAAAAGAGUUGACAUGACGUAGGUGUCACUUUAAAAGUUAAAGAUGUGUGAACUGAGGUUGAGACUUGAGAGUAUAAAACACUAAACCAAAUAUGUAGCAGAAGGAUAAGAAAGGGGAUCAACUUACUUGGCUAUAUCGACACACCACCUUUUUGUUAGCUAGGUGUAGUGCUUACCUGGGACAUGGGUAAUAGACUCGAUUCCAGCUCUUUAUCAAAGACUGGAAAGGCCGAUUCCUUUUGUUUGGAAUUUUUUUCUUUUUGGAGGAACAGAAUGUGUUCCAGUUGAUUACAAAAAUUAAACUUAAAAUUUUCUAUUGUUCGCUAUGGGAUUAGAUAGAUGGACUAGACGAGAAAAUCAGAAACAUGUAUGUUACAUUUUUGACUCUAUGACCAUGCUGGUGAGUUCUGGGUCAGUAGGCGUAAUUUACACGCAUUUGCAUUUUCAGUGAGCCCAGUGUUUGGAUGGAUGCUUGGAUCUCCCAAACAGUCUCAACCUAUAAGGGAAUUAAUCACUUUUAUAGCUCAUGGAAUAGAAGCCAGCACUUGGUUGUUUCCAGUAAUGUAACAACACUUGUUUUGCCAAGACCUUCGUUUUACCGAAAACCAGAAAAUUAUACUUUUUGUCAAAGAUAUGUUUAUCUAAUAUUAAACCAAUAGGAGGCACUAGAACUCAUAGAAAAGUAGUUCUACUAACUGUAUUAAGAUUUUGUUUUCUUAAAACUGGAGCAUUUUCCUGGAUUGGAAGAAGCAUGUGGGGUUGCUUAAAAGUAAUUGUGAUACCAAUAGAGGUGUGGGAGUUGUUACAUGAUGAGAUCUUGAGUAGUCUUUGGGCCUUCUAUUCUUGUAUGUUAUUCCUGUUUUGGUAGGCUAUCUCAACGUACAUAUACUAUUUACAAUACAACCCAUCUAUGCUAUUAGAAGCUGUGAGUUUUCACCCUACACUUGUAGCUUGUGACAUCUUUAUUGCCACAAAUUUUGUAUUUUAUGAAAUUUGCAAUGAUUUCGUUUGUAUUCUUCUACAGAGAACAAGCUUCAAGUGCUUCCGGGAAAGCAACAUCUGGCAUGUCUAGCGACGAAAAGAAUCAGGUCUUUAUCUGAUUUAGUACUCUGUUGUAACAUAUGAAGACAAACUCAUUAAUUUCAUCUAAUAAUUGACAUCUAUUUAUAGAGACAGGUGUCUACUCGAGCCCUUAUGCCGCCUCCUCGGCCUUCAAAGAAAUCAUUCAGAGGUCCAAGUCGUAACCAGCCAGAAAAUGACUGCUCAUCAAGCAAGAAGCCUUCCAUAGAGAGGGUUCAGAUGUCUACAUAUGGCAAUAAGCCACAUGGAAUAGGCGGUUCUUCCUACCGAAACCAAGGAUCGUCAAAUUCAACUACUGGCCCUAGUAGUAAUCUCAGCUCAAACUCUGAUGCUCACAAACCUCGGAGAAAAAGGAGACCAAAGAAGAAGAAGCAACAGGUUCAAUAUUUCACUGAUCUUAUCCCUAAAAUUAGUUCCAACGCUCAAAAAUUUUUUCACCGACUAUUAGACACUUUUUUAUGUUGGAACAACCACGGAACCACCGAAAAAUGAUUAACAUACCCUUGCUUUUAAACGGAACCAGCCACCCAAAAAUGAUUAACAUACCCUUGCUUUUAAACGGAACCACGGUUUUGCAACGAUUUAUUUAAAGAUUUUCUUAAGUAAGCCCCACAAUCUCAAGAGUAAAUAAAAUAUAAGACUCCUGAAAAAAAUUAUUCAUCUGGAGAAGUUGGUGAUUGAUGAAGUUCUGUUAUAAAGUCUGUGAUUUCUCAUCUUGUGUGUAUAGUGAGAUUUAUUACUACACGCACACACACACACACACACUCACACACUCACUUUGUGAUGAAUCUUACUAUAAGCCUCGUUAUAACCCUUUGUUUUAUAUGCUUUUUACCAUUUUAUUUUCAGGCAUAAUAUUCUUCAUUGGGAGUUCAACUUUUCAUAGAUCAAGUGCUGCACUGGACCUCCAUAGAAGAAAUGUUUUGAGAUUUGAAUUGGGGUUCCAACAAUCAGCUGUUAAUUUAUCUGCGCCUAGGUUGUUAACCUCGAUGUGCUUUUCUUCCGCAGAUAGAUGUAUAUGGAUUUUUAUUUACAGUGAUCCGUGUAAUCAAAACUGUGACGGUUGUUACUCUUGUUCCAUAUUGCAAAAAGUACUUUUGAGAUUUGAUUAGUGGUGGAAUGGUAGUGAGAAUGUAUUUUUUGAUAGAAGAUUUGGUGAUAUAUCUGUAGCUGCGAGCUUGCAAAGGAAGAUCCAACUUCUGAAUAUCUGAUUCUGGAAUUUCCUUCCUAACCUUUAUUUGUAUGUGUGGAAUGUAAGUUAGCUACAGUAUUUUCUUCUGCUUCAUUAUUUUCCUCUUCUUGUCGACCGAAGUUAGGAGGUCCAUUUGGAGUUGGGUGGAACUCAAACUCGUGUCUGUUCUUUUUUAAUUUUCUGUAUGUCCGUCUUUUUUUUUUCUGUUUUUUAAAAUCUUUCUUUUCUCUUUUUUCUUCCUCUCUCUUUCCCUAACGUUGGUCUCCACUGUAUCACGGUUCUAUAUUUUAAAUAUUUUCUUAUGUGUAUUGGAUCAUAGUGCAAGUUAUUUAGAAUUUGAAUCGAUCAGUAGUUCUUUGUUGUAGAGAUUAACCUUUGUAUAUCCAAGCAACUGAUCAGUGAUCACCCACAAAUCAAUCUCAUCAUAUUGAAAAACUAAAGAUAUAACAAAAAGUGUUUUUGAUUGAUUUAAAACAUAGUGAAAUGUAAUAAUAAAUAUAGAAUACAGUGUUCUCUAGACAGUGGACAUAGCACACUCUUUUCCUUUAGCCAUCAAUGCUAUUAUUAUUUCCUUUCCUGCUCAAUUCAUGCGUUUUCCACUCCACUUCACUGCAUGCCAACCCAAUAGAUCUAAAGUUCCCAAUGCAAGUUAUUGCUUGAAAGACAUUAUCUUCUUUAAUAGAAUUACUCUUGAGUUGUCGUGAAGCUCUGUCUUUAAGCACAUACCAACGUAGAUUUGUGGAGUUGUGUCUAUAUAUGAGUUCCCCUUUCUUUGUAACUGUGAGAGGAUGGUCGAAGUUUGGUAUAGUAUAUGCCUUGGUCCAAGACUCCUUCGCACCAUAGUCCAUCAUCAUCCAUAUUUCACUAUUGGUUUCAUAAUUACAAAAUAGGGAAAGGAACCCAUCUAUCAAUGUGAGAGCUAUACAACACAGUUCAUAUUGCCCAUAGUCAGGCAAUGGCAUAGUCCGGAACUCUCUGCUAUUGAUGUCAAAAGCAAUGAUAUAUUCUGCGUUCAAGCCAUGGACAAACUGUGAUGUACACCUGGUAUCAAUCCAAUGUAAAGUACCAUUUAAGAGUUCCCCACCUGAGCAGCUCUCAAUGCUGUAUGGGAUGUUUUGAAUUCUUCUCCAUGAAUUCUCCUUUAGUGAGUAAAUUUCAACUUCAGAGUGUCGGAUGUGAUCACCGAAGGAAACAAUCCGUACAACCUCAUAAUCCUUUGAAGUUGGGUUGUAACAGAAGCCUAAUUGAGGAUGAUCUUUUUUAGUAAGGGGUUCCGGUAGUUCUUUGUAAUCUGUAGUGAACGGGUUCCACAUGAAUAUUUUUUUAAGAGUACAAUCAUAUAUGCAUAUUACUCCAUUACAAGAAUUCUUCUGCAUAUUUUUUUAACAUGUUAGUUGUAAGCAUUUCUGGUAUAUCCAUCAUUAUGAGAUGUUCAUAAUUUUCAUAAUCUACCAAAUAAACUUUAGAACUUCCAACCAAUAACAUGAUAUUUCCAAAGUUACGACUACUAACGAAUUUAUACCAUGCUUUCGAUACACUCUUUAAUAGUAAAAUUGACUUGACAGGUAGUUUUGAGAGUAUAUCUUCAAUGAUCUCAGCUGGGAGGAUACUCAACCAGUUAGAAGAAACGCGCUUUGGGCGAAAAUAUGAGAACAAGAAAGAAGCUAGAUGCUUAUGAAAAGAGUACAUUGUGAGAAAGUCUUAGCAAAAUACAUAGCAAAUAGGAUCAAAACUAUCCGCUGUAUAUAUAUAUAUAACAAAAACAAUGUCAAAUCCUUAUAUAACAACAAUUGUGGUAAGAUUAGGAUUGGUCAUUUGGGUAUCUAUUUCAAAUUGAGAAUCCAAUAUAGGGACAAAUUAAGUUUAUUGGGUUACUUUCCUGUAAAAUGUAAAAUGCAGAACAAAUGAUAAGACGUCAAUAUAUAUAGGGUAUUUGAACAAUGAUACUGUACUAGCAUCUGAAAGAAAUAAGAUUCAUUACAAAUUGUCAGCAAUCACAGAACUUCAUAAUCAAUACAAUGCAACUAGGCUCUCAAUGUAGGAUGUCGCGUGGUAAGACCUAUGAUAGACUACCAGUUUUGGUUGUCAAUAUAGGAUUCAUUACAAAUUGUCAGCAAUCACAGAACUUCAAAAUCAAUACAAUGCAACGAGGCUCUCAAUGUAGGAUGUCGCGUGGUAAGACCUAUGAUAGACUGCCAGUUUUGGUUGUCAAUUUUGGUGUUUAAUGUCAUAUAAAUGUACAAACCAAUUAUCGUUUAGCACUAAAGUUGUACCAUUAAUUAGAAAGCAGCAAUGUUCCAAGAACAGAUAUACGGCCUAAAUCUUCAUAGAAUAAAAAAAAAGAAGAUAUACUGCCUAACCAGUUUUUCAUUAUUAUGAGAAGUCUGUAUAUAUAAAUAAAAGAGGACUACUCCAGUAUCAACACCGUAUAUUCUUCUUACAUCUGCAAACCUUAUUCUUACUCACAACCCUUGAUCAUCAUGUCUUUCACCAAUCAUUUUCUUCUGUUGCUUAAUGCUACUGCUUCUUGGUCAGGCUAAUUCCAUGUUAAAUGCAGAGUUCUACAAUACUUCACUCCCAGAAGCUGAAACCAUCAUAACGUCAGAGAGGACUAUGGUAUGCCCUCCUGAGAGGCCUACCAUAUCUUUAAGGUUCAUACCUGCUUGCUCAAAUUUUGCGAACAGAUCUGCAAGCUCAGAAUUUGGAUUUGGAAGUCCCUGAAAGACAGCUGUGUUAUUUGCCACAAAGCUCUCUCUCUCUCCUGCCGAACUCAAUGCUCCAUUUAGGUCCUCCUGACUGCAUAUACAGACCAAAACACAAGUGUUAACUGCAUGCAGUAUAUCAUCUAAUUUCAAUGUUUAGAUAUGAUGAUGAACUGGCCAUAUAAGACAGAUGUAUAUCCAUUCUGAACUUAGAUACACAUUAUUAGUAAUUGGCAUGUCAUUAACAAAGUGACAUAUACAUCAAAGUUACAGAACACUUGUGAGCUAGUAAUUAGUAAUAGAGGUAAUCAUCAGUACUCAACAUUAGCUAGAUGAACAACAAUGAAAAACAAACCAAAUACAAACACUACCAACACUCUGCUUCUAUAAUCAGUUCCUUUUAUAUCCUAAUUUUUUAUUUUGAAGUUUCAAAAUUAUUAUAUUGCAUUUGUAGUUUCUGGUCUAUGGGAAUUCCGGUAGACUGCUCGUGGACAUGGAGGUCUAUAAUUAGAGCUUGUAGACUAGGAUGAAAGUUCAUAACUUGUAGCAUUGCUAAUGGAGAAAGGACUUUGCUCUGGCAUGAACGUUGGGUUACUAACAAUUUACUAACAUUGGCGUAAGCACAAUGGAACUUCCCAGAAGACUCAAAAUAAAGUUAGCUGCCUAGUAUCUGACUAUACUAGGAAGUAUAGUGAGAUCAGUGCUUUUGUACAAGAGUUAAAGGCAGUUGAAGUGGUCUACAGGAAUGCCAGAGAACUAAUUUGCGAAAUGUUGUAGUGGCCACGGACCCUAAGGGCAAUCACUAUUAUCAAGAGAAAAUGAGAAUUCCCAUUGUACUGCGCAAACUUAAUAGCGCCAAUUAAAGGAACUGUAAGAUUGAUGUGUAGUGUGAAUGUAAUCCAUGUGUUUAGAGAAGUAUAUAGGGUUGCUGAUUAUCUGGCAGGACUGUCCAGUCCAAAUAACAAUAGCUUGCCUGUUUUUAUUCCUCGGCUCUUUUGUGUUUUCAAUUAGAUAUGAUAAUAAAGGACAUCCGAGCAUGAAACUGUGUGAGGGGAAGCCUUUUCUAGUUCAACCUUGAUGGUGUCUAUGACAUCAAAUCCUCGGAGAGACUGAAAGUUAGGCAGUGCUGACUUUUCCCGGACAUGGUAUUCUGUAUCGUCCAAAAGAACGAAUGCGUCACAGCCCUACGAAAACCAAGUUAUUAGAAGAAAUAUAAUCCCAUUGUUAUUUCACACAAACUCGAUCUGUACAAUGAAAGUGUAACUAGCUUAAAGAGGAAUGAUAAACAAUUUUCUAUCAGCAAUUCAUUUUAUAUGUUGUACAUGACAAAUUGGGAAAAAAAAAUAGUCAACAAUAUGGCACCGGCUUAAUGAUCUAGUUGCCGAAUAAGUUCAAAUACACAUAAUAUAAACAUUGAAUGCAGAAAUCACACCAAAAUGAAACCAAUUAACUGCUCAGAGGUGGUAUAUUGCGAUUUCCUAAGGUAGUUUCGCAGUUGCAGGUAAAGGAUCAGCCACAGAAGAACCUCUGAGCAAGUAGAAUGAAGUCAUGGACACACCUUUACAAAACUCUUGGGAUGAAAUAUUUCAAAUCACGACUUAAAAACUUAAGAUAAUAUUUAUGCAAACCUGAACAAAGCAGUCAGGGAAACUCAACUGUAAAAGCGAUGCUGCCAGGGUUGGAUCUUGGUUAAAAGGACAUACAGAUGGUUUCAGCUUCUGGGCAUGAAGUAUUGUAGAAUUCUGCACUUAAAGUGGAAUUAGGCUGACGAAGAAGCAGUAGCAUUAAGCAACAGAAGAAAAAGAUUGGUCAAGACAUGAUGAUCAAGGGUGCAUGGUGAUUAAGAAUAAGGUUUGCAAAAGAAAGAAGAGUAUAGGGUGUUGGUACUGUAGUUGUCAUCUUUAAUAUGUACAGACUUCUCAUAAUAAUCCAAUGUUGUUCAUAUAUUGCGAUAAAAUGCAAAACUACCUGCCAUGUUCUCUACUUUCUUCUUAUACAAAGCUUACCCAAAAACAAUUCUCUUUUCUCUUUUCCUUGCUUUUUUCCUUUUACUUAAAAAUGUGCUUGCCCCAACCUUCUCUGAUAGCUUUAUUUAUUACAAGCAUGCAAAAUUAGAAUGUUUAUGGUUGGUUAUAGUAAAUAUGUUGACAAAUAGUACCUGUGGUUUGUGCUCAAUUCCCCUAAUGGUUUAUAUUCUUCACAUUUUCAAACUUUUUCUGUCUUUGGUUUUUCCUUGUUGUUUGCUUUUAUGGUUGUUGCCAAAAAAGAGUUUGGGUGUCAAGAUAUAGUUUGUAUAGAAAAGCAUGCUUCAAAGUUCAAACAACCAGUGAACACAUAAAAAAAUACAUGAUAAACUUUGGAACUUCCAACCAAUAACAUGAUAUGUUUCCGAAGUUACGACUGCUAACGAAUUCAUACCAUGCUUUAGAUAAACACUUUAAUCAUAAAAUUGACUUGACAGAUAGUCUUGAGAGUAUAUCUUCAAUGAUCUCAACUGGGGGAGGAUAUUCAACAAGUUAGAAGAAACAAGGGUGCAAUGUCUCAACCAACAAGCUUUUAAGUGAGAUCCGGUUGUCGCUUCAUGCCUCCGUGGAACAACAGUAUCGAACUGCAGAGCGCGCAAAAUCUACCCUUUAAUUCAAGAAUACUCCCUGGUGAAAAAAUUGAAUUCUGCACAAAGAUAAAGUUGAAAUAUUUUCCCAAUAAUAUAUUAACAGAAUAACCAGUAUAUACAUAAAUAAAUUUAAAUCAUCCUAAUUAAUGAGAAUAAAUAAUUAAUAUUGAAAAGUACUUGUUAAAUUAUCUCAUUGCUAUAUAAGCCCUUGGUGAAUUGUGUAGUCUUGUUGUUUGAUAAACUGCCUAAGACUAGGAAAUGGAAUUGAAGGUCAUGUUCAGCAAGUGUUUUUAUUUGUCUGUACUUCUCAUAUGCCUUCUUGUUUGCGCACCAACUUCUGGUAAUUUUUCUGCUUUUUGUUGUAAAUAUUACAUAAACAUGUGGUAUUUUAUAACACAUUAACCCAUUAAAAUGUUGAUCGAUGUUAGUUAUGAUUUUGCACUACUUUUAUAAAAGAAAAUAUUUUGGUGUUGAGACAUUUUGAUCAUUUUAGAAUUGACUAGAUUAGCCUUUUUUUUUUUUCACUUAUAUCAUUGAAAAUUAAUCUUAAUAAGGUGAAAUUUUGUAUCGUCCAUCAUCGAUUAUAACCAUUCGAAAUGAUCUUAUUAAUUUCAUACAGCUGAUGCAAGGUUGAAGCCUGAAAAGGACUUUUGCUGGAAUAUGUGCUAUCAUCCUGAUAGUUGUAAUGGAGCUUGUAAGGCUUCUGGGUUCAAAGAGGGAAUCUGUGAUGUUAAAGCUGACACUUGUUGUUGUCAUGUAAAUUAGUUGCAAGUUCGUUUUCCAUAUUAGUUAGAAUAAAUCUAUCUGAAAAAAAAAAAAAAGAUUAUGAUAUUAGAAUACUUUUUGGUUUCCAUAUUAUCUUGUGACUCAUUUUCAAUAUUACAGUAGUUAAGUUCACCUAAAUCAAGCUACUGUCAUGAAUCAUGGUAGAUACACACACAUGUAGAAAAGAAAUUGAAAAGAUACAAAGCAUAAGGAUCAUAAACUGAAAAAAUAUAUUAGGUACUACCAAGCACAUCAUUAGAUAAAAAUCUAUUAUAGAAAAGAAAUUUAGGAAAUAUGUAUUAACAGAUAUCAUCCAAUCUUGAACAGAACAACCUUCAACAUCUUUGUAACAUAAUACUACUCAAUCGAAGUUCAAGUCUUGAAACCUAUUACAUACUGUUACUAUCCUCAACUAAUUCACCAUACGACAGUUGAUGCGUACUUCACCUUCAGAACCUAGAAGAGGAGCAAUUCUUCCCAUUUUUAGCAUUGAUGUGGCGAAAUCAUCAAAGAAUGCAGUUGAAUUCGUUGCAUAAAUCUGAACAAGGUCAAGUGCAGGAGUAAACUUCACAAGGGCAUUGUCUGACUGAAAAAACCCCCCAUUCAUAUUCUUUCGGAGGAGAGCAAGAUAAUAGUUAUUGUCAAAAACCUUGGGUGUUUGAUCCAGAGAAGCAUGUGUUUCAUUCCUGGAGCAACUGUUUGGUCGUUGCCCUUUCAGAAAAAAACACCUUGCAGAGCCUAUGGUAUGCCCCCCUGAGAGAGCUACUAUAUCUCUAAGGUUCAUACCUAUUUGCUCAAAUUUUGCCAACAGAUCUGCAAGCUCAGAAUUUGGACUUGGAAGUCCCUGAAGGACAGUAACAUUAUUUGCCACAGUAAUGCUAUCUCUCCUGCCGAACUCAACGCUCCAUCUAGGUCCUCCUGACUACAUAUACAGACCAAAACACAAUUGUUAACUACAUGCCGUAUAUCGUCUAAUUUCAAUGUUUAGAUAUGGUGAUGAACUGUCCAUAUAUAUCCAUUCUGAACUUAGAUACAAAUUAUUAGUAAUUGGCAUGUUAUUAACAAAGUGAAAUAUACAUCAACGUUACAGAACAAUUGUGAGCCAGUAAUUAGUAAUAGAGGUAUUCAUCAGUAGUUCAGUACUCAACAUUGGCUAGAUAAACAAUAAUUACAAACAAACCAAAUACAAAGACUACCCAGUCCAAAAAACAAUAGCUUGUCUGUAUUUAUUCCUCGGCUCCUUUGUGUUUUAAUUAGAUAUGAUGUGGAGGCAGGGUGCACAUGAGAAUUUAAAUCAAUGCAGGUUGGGGAAAAGACGACAUACUACCAGACCAGUAAUCAGCUAUUCCUUGACAAAAUAAUUUUAAACACUAGGAAAAUAACAAUUUAACAAGGAAGUAUCAGAAAAGGCAAUACCAGAACCACAGAGUCCCUUGCUACUGCUGCAAUGACAUCCGAGCAUGAAACUGUGUGAGGGCAAGCCUUUUCUAGUUCAGCCUUGAUGGUGUCUAUGACCUCAAAUCCUCGGAGGGAUUGAUCGUUAGGCAGUGCUGUCUUUUCCCCGGCAUGGUGUUCUGUAUAAUCCAAAAGAACAGAUGCAUCACAGCCCUGCGAAAACCAAGUUAUUAGAACAAAUAUAAUCCCAUUGUUAUUUCACAUAAACUCGAUCUGCACAAUGAAAGUAUAACUAGUUUAAGGAGGAAUGAUAAACAAUUUUCUAUUAUGAUUAGUCAGAGCAAUUCAUUUUAUAUGUUGCACAUGACAAAUAGGAAUAAAGAAGUAUUGCAACCAACAAUGGCCUCGUAAACGACCAGCUUAAUGAUCUAUUUACCGAAUAAAUUAAAUACACAUACUAUAAACAUUGAAUGCAGAAAUCACACCAAAAUGAAACCAAUUAACUUCUGAUCAGAGGUGCUAUAUUGUGAUUCCCUAAGGGAGUUUCACAGUUGCAGGUAACAGAUCAGUCACGCAAGAACCUCUGAGCAAGCAGAAUGAAGUCAUGGACAUACCUUUACAAAACACUUGAGAUGAAAUAUUUCAAAUCAUAACUUAAAAACUUAGGAUAAUAUUUAUGCUAACCUGAACAAAACAAUCAUGGAAAUGCAACCGUAAAAGCGAUGCUGCCAGGGUUGGAUCUCGCUUAAAAGCUUGAGACAUUGCAGACGUUAUGAUUGAUUCAGCUUCUCGGCAUGAAGUAUGGUAGAAGUCUACACUUAACAUGGAGUUGGCCUGACCAAGAACCAGUACCAUUAAGCAACAGAAGAAAUACAUUGGUGAAGACAUGAUGAUCAAGGGUGGUGAGUAAGAAUAAGGUUUGCAGAAGUAAGAAGAAUAUAGGGUGUUGCCGUGUUGGUACUGGAGUAGUCAUAAUAUUGCGAUUAAAUGCAAAACCGCCUCCCCGCUGUCACCCUUUCUUCUUAUACAAAGCUUACCCAAAACAACGCUUUUCUCUGUUCCUUGCUGUUUCCUUUUACUUAAAAAUGUGCUUGCCAGUUGCCCCAACCUUCUCUGAUAGGUUUUAUUUAUUAUAGGCCGAUAGGCGUACAAAAUUAGGAUGUUUAUCGGUGGUUAAAGUAAAUAUGUUGACAAUUAGUACCUGCAGUAUGUGCUCAUUUCCCCCUAAUGGUUUAUAUUCUUCAUAUUUUCAAAUUUUCUCUGUAUUUGGUUUUUCCUUGUUGUUUGCUUUUAUGGUUGUUGCUAAAAAAAGAGUUUGAGUGUCAGGAUAGACUGGAUAGUUGGUAUAGAAAACCAUGCUUCAAACAACCAGUGAACACAUAAAAGCUUUUCAAAUCAAGUUGCUUGACCUAUAAAAAUUAUGGAAUUUGUUUUGUUUAAGUUAAUAGACACAAUUGAGAAGAUGUUGUUGUUGUUUUUCGGGCUGAAGAGGCCGAAAGCACUAAUCACCACAAAUCUUCUUCAUCCACAUUAAUGGAGAUUCCAUCAUCCACAUUCCUCCUCUUUCCUUUUCGGCACUUUUUCUCCUCUCCUCCUCUAUCAGUAAGCAAUCAGACUCAGUACACAAUGAAUGAAUUGAAUUAAUGAGAAUAAUGGAAUGGCCAUAUUGUUUAGUGUUGGGCAUGGAUGGAUUUAUAAAUAAAUGUAGAAAAAUAAAUAGCUCACUCCAAUGCCCAAUAUCACCUUACCUAAGCAGCUAGAAUAUUGUUGCGGCAAACAAACAAGGUUUCAGAACUUUCAGUCCCAAAAGCCUGUAAAACAUUCCACUUUGUUGGGUACACCGUACAUAAAGUUUAAGAUCGAACAUACUUUGAUGAGAACAUAUUGCUUAAAAUAAAAACACAUGAGUGAUUUGAACAUGCAACAGCUUUAGCGAAAACUAUGUCUUCAUAUAUAAAGGAAAAUUGCCGGAUUCCAUAUGCAGAUAGUGUUUUCGUCAUUGAUUACACAUAGCAGGCCAUUACAAGAGCCCCAAACUUUGGGUUUAUGCAACAAUGGAUAUUUGAUCUGUAUCUCAUCAUCAUCAAAUCUUUCACAAUCUAAUAUAAUUACAUUUUUAGAUGGAAGCAUGAGCCUAAGAUUGUUUUUGUUGUUUUUCUGAUUAUUGACAUGCUUAUGAACAAAAAAAGUACUAUUAAUUAGCAUAAACCAUGAUUUAGAUACACACCUGAACCUUAAUAGUGACUUUACAGGUAAUCUUGAUAGUAUUUCCUCCAUUAAAUCACUUGGGAUAAUUAGGUUUUGCAUCAUAUGAUUCUCCAUUAUUGUUUCAAAGGGAUUUUGUUCACUGUUUCAACUUAUGAACCCUAACCCUAAACAAAUUACAUAAGAAACCAUCAUGUUGGAUAAAAGGCUUCGUUUUGGGCUACCCGACUCGACCCAGUCCGGCCUGGUUGUUUGUUGCGGUUUUUGGAGGAAAAAAAAAGGCAAAUUACAAACACCUACACACCAUAUCUACCAGACUACUUCAACAUUCUUGGUACUUCACUCAAAGGGAAAGACUUAUUAAUUAGUAACAAAAACUGCACGAAGCAGAUACAUGUAAACUUGUAUUCUGCGACUACACGACGCCAAUAGGUGCCUUCACUGGAGCCUGAACUGGUGAAACAUGAGAAGUUGGAAAUGCAUCACAGUAGCCUCUAAGGAUAUCACCCUCUUGAGAAGUAAAACCGAGAGAAGUAAGCAUAGUAGGCCAGCAAUCACGAGUGAUAAUGCGAAUUGCACGACAACAGUCAAGACCAAGAUAGCUCUCACCAUUUAGAAAGAACAUAACAAUCUCGCUAGUGCAUGCUUUUAACUCUAGUAGAGCACUCCAGCAAUCUCCAAGACCUCCACUACUCUCGCCAUAGAGCCGAGCGUUAAGGUUAUGCCCUGGCUUAAUUGGCAGCUCUUUGGUUGAAGCAGUAAUUGCUCCCAUGAAGCAGGAAAUUGUUAGUAGAAAAAGAACAAAACUUUUGAAAGCCAUGGAAUGAUCAAGUAUUUUGUGUUGUUACUUGUUUGAGGUGAUAGUGAAUACUGAAUAUGUGUGAAGCAAAGGGUCAGAAUGGUGGAUUUUAUAAGCAAGAGCUAGGGAUGAUGAAAAGACUUCAGUUUCAAACAAGAUGGUUGCACGUAUCUCUUGAAGUUACAAACUGUACAGUUUCCUCUUGCAUUGAUCAUUAAAUAUACAAGUUUCAAGCAAAGAACAAAUAAAUGGUAGUUGAAGCCACAGGACAUCAAUUUGAUUAUUAUGGAUUAAAUAUCUUGCCAGACGCAAUCGAUAUUACUGCUAUUGAAAAGGCACCCGUUUGCAACCUGUAAUUCUUUUCACUUCUCAACAAUUAUAAGAAGAAAACAGAUCAUAUAUAUCUACUUUCUAGCCGUAAAAAAUACAUACAUAUAUAUAUAGGGUCUGUUUGAUUGGUCGUGGGAAAAAUUCCCACAUCAAACAUUACCCCAGAAAUUCCCAGAUGCCUGUUUGAUUGGUAAAGUUGGGUCAUGUAAAAAUUCCAUGAUAAAAAUAUUUCUCAUGAAUCUUUCCUUGACCCACCCCUAAAAAAAUUCCCAAACUUGUAAGGGAAUAUUUUUUUGUCUAAUCAAACAACUAAAAUCUUUCCCACAUAAAAUUUUCCUCAUGUUUGUAUGUCUAAUCAAAUAACUAAAAUCUUUCCCACAUAAAAUUUUCCUUGUGUUUUUAUGUCCAAUCAAACGACCCAUUAGUGGGAAUUAUUUUAUGUGGAAAUAUUUUCAACUAUAAAAAUUCCCACAAGUAGUUAUUCCCACCAAUCAAACACACCCAUAUAUAUAUAGAGAGAGGCUGUCCGGACAUACCUAAAAUAAAAAGAGUCACGUGAGUUUUAAACGCUAAUGUGAUAUAUUGUACAGGGUUGAGUUUAACCCAGUUAGGAUCCGGUUAUGCGUCUGUUUCCUGUAUUUCUUUCUACUUGUGUCUCUUUCUCUCUCUCCCCAUUUCUAAGCUUCUCUUUCUGCACUUCUUCUAAUUAAUGGAAAUAUGUUAUCAACCAAAGUAAAAAUGAAUUCAGCAGAGUAAUAACAAGGUUACAUAGUCUGACAAGCAAUUAAGCAGAGUAAUCAUGAAAUAUGGAAUCGUUUAUCAAACCAUAGUGAAUAUCAAACAUAUUCUAAUAACAAUUAAUAGACUUCAGAAUCUAUAAGAACACAAGACCAUAAAAUCUCUUCGAUCUCCUCCACCAUCUUCUAGAAAUUUCUGCAAUUUCAUCGAUUUAGAAAACCCCACAUCUUCUUCCCCAAAUUAUGGUUUGCAGAGAAAUAGACAAAUAUGGCUUCUUCUUGGGAUUUGUGAAUGCUGACUUGUGUAUGGGAUUUUGAUUAAGCUUGUAAUUUGGCUCUUAAAUGAUCCACCUAUAACCAAACUAAGAGUGAACCUUCGAAACUCAGAAUUCUUUUUUCUUUUUUUCGGUCAUCAUUCAAGCUUUUAAAUUUCAACAAUUUGUUUUCUUUUUUCGUUCAUCAUUCAAGCUUUUAAAUUUCAACAAUUUGGGAGAACAACUCAGUGGGCGGCAACAAUUAAAUGAAACAUAUAUUCUAUAAUUUUUUUAUUUUAAGAUUGAGACGGAGAGAUAUCAGUUAAUAAAGUGAAAAUAUAUUAACAGAGAAAAGACACGAAGAGAGAGAAGAAGAAUAUAACCGGUUUAAUAAGGUUUAUUUCUGACCCGAUAGAGAAACCAGAUUUACGUAAUAAUGUAAAGAGGGCGCGUGAUGUUUCUAAAAAUAUGUAAGUUCGUAUAUAUAUAUAUAUAUAUUCAAACUCCCAACGGUGUAGAACAGCUUACCAACAUGUUGAACCCAUUCCAAAGUUCGUGGGAUCAUCCACAGCAUGUAAGAAAAAACCUUAACAAAGACCUAUAGUUUGAUACUGUCUGGAUUGAUAUAACUUUGAUUCUACUUGAAUGACUACUAUUUUCAAAUUACUUUCCUAUAAAGUUUUAUUUAUCAGCUGACUCAGCAUCACAUGAAUUGCUAAAGUGCUGUUACAACGGUUAACAUUAACAAUAUCAUCUGUCCAAAUUACCAAUCACAGACCACCAUAGAAACUAGAAAGCAGCAAAACAGUUAAUUCAUAUGACUGUUACACAAGAAUUCUGGAAAUUUACGGGAAAGUGCAGCUACAAAAAGUUCGCACAAUGGAAAAAAUAAUGUUGAAACAGAAGACACAGUUCAACUAGUGUACAGGUAUAUAUGCUAACACUGAAUGCUGACAGGUCAACACCUAUCUCAAAAAAAAAAACAUACAACUGCCUAAUAUCCAUAGUUGUUCCCAAAGUCGGCAUUGAGAAUAGUAUUUUUUCUCUUACCACGUCAAUUUUGUAAUUGAUAAACUGAUAUCUAGUGAGUAUUCAAUCAGGUCAUCAACUGCCUAAUAUCCAUAGCUGUUGCCAUAGUUGUUCCCAUAGCUGGAAUUGUAGUUUGAUCCGUAGCUUCCUGCAUCUUGCCCAGCAUGUCCAGUGUUGGAUGGAGGAGAUGAAUACACAGAGCCAUGAGAAGCAUAAACAUUCUCAGCUGGACCGUUUGCAUGGUUCUGUUGUGAGCUUGCUGCUUCAGCCAUGAAAUUCUGCAAACACAUAAAUGAGUCCGGUUUAUAUAGUUAUAUAAAGGGGGAUUUAGAGAUACCCCCAAAAUAAUAGGAACUCUUUGAGAUACCCCCCAGAUUUAAAAAUCAUUAGAGAUACCCCCCAGAUUUUCAUUUUAAGCCGGUCAACCAAGCCAUUGACCAAUAUAACUUUUAUAUUGACAAAAAUACCCUUCUCAAUUGAAGUUAUAUCCUAGUCAUCCAACCCAAUUACCAUGUAUGCCAUAUCAUGUAAACUUAGAUCUAAUCCUAACUAUUCAAUAAGAUAAAACCCUCAAAUCUAAUCCUAUGGUUAGAAACCAAUAUUUUUUUCUCCAACUCUUCUUCCUUCUUCUCCUCCACCACCACUAUUAAAACCACCAAUUCCUCCACUAAACUACUAAAUCUUCUCUCUCCUCUUCUACUCAUAAAUCACCCCAUACCACCACAACCACCACCACCACCACAACCACCAAUUCCUCCACCACCACUAUUAAAACCACCAAUUCCUCCACCAAACUACUAGAUUUUCUCUCUCCUCUUCUACUAAUAAAUCACCCCAUACAACCACAACCACCAAUUCCUCCACCACCACCACUAAUAAACUACCAAUUUCUCCACCCCCACUACUAAAUAUUCUCUCUAAUCUUUUUCUCACACAAAAAAAUCUUCUCUCUCUUAUUUUCAUAAAUCACCCCACAACCACCAAUACCUCCACCACCACUACUAAAUCUUCUUUCUCCUUUUUUUCUCACACAAACAAUUUUUUUCUCUUCUUUUGUACUCGUAAAUCACCCAACACAACUACAAAAACUACCAAUUUCUCCACCACCACUACUAAGUCCACUAAUUUCUCCACCACCACUAUUAAAGUUCUUGGAUUAAUGGGGUAUGGGUGUGGUUAGGAUCAAUGGGUUUGAAUUACAUGAGAUGGACGGUUAUGAUUUAAUGGGGUAUGGGUGUUGGAUGUGAGUAAAAUUUGUUUAUGUUAAAGGUUUUGCUGACAUGGCAUACAAGUAGAUGACUAGGAUUAAGGUUCAAAUAAAAGAAGGGUAUUUUUGUCUAAAGAACAUAAAGAUGGGUCAAACAUAGGUCAAUGGCUCGGUUGACCGGCUUGAAAUGAAAAUCUGGGGGGUAUCUCUAAUGAUUUUUAAAUCUGGGGGGUAUCUCAAAGAGUUCCUAUUAUUUUGGGGGGUAUCUCUAAAUCCCCCUUAUAUAAACAAACACAACUACAGAUUUCUUUGAAUAAAAAAAAAAAGUAAGAGCAGGUCAGCAGAAAAGGAAACCAUAAAUGUCAACAAGAUGUAAUCCAGUAAAGAAAGAUGUCAAGAGAGACCUAUAAAAGUCAAAGAACUGGAAAUAUCCCAUCAACACUACAUGAACUACUUUCAACAAAAUGACAUAAAUGUCAUAUAAAAUAUGUUAAACAAGAUAACCUCCUUCGGUGGCAAUAAAACAAAUUUAAUCACCUAAAAAUAAAGGAUUUGACAAGCACCAUCGAAAAUAAAAAGAAAAGAAAAGAGAAAAUGGGAAGCACCUGUAUCAACUGCUGAGCAGUUUGAACUUGCGAACCAGUUCCAUUGAUCUCCACAGUCAUUUCACCAGGGACCCCCCUCGUUUCCUGUAUUGUAAUAGAAGCCCCACUUGCACGUCUAAUAUAGCUAAUAUUUGCACCAGCAUUUCCAAUAACCGCAUCAGCAUAGGAGAGUGGAACUUGCAUAUGCUGGGUUAUCUGUAAACAGUAAAGCAUAACGUCAUGACUAUUUUGAUUUUAUGUUUUUUCAAGAAAAGCUGAAAAAUGAGGUGCACGAUAGAAGUUGAAAAAAAUAAAUACAAAUUCCUGUUACACAUGAUCCUAAAUGCGCAGUGAUGUGCAAGACAUAAUAAUUCAUUUAACAAUGAGAUUCUGAUGGGCCAAGAUCUAUAGAAAAGACAUUGCUUUCUACACGUGACAGAAGCUAUCUAAGAAAACUAUAUAUGUGAGUCUCUCUGUGUGGUUAUGACAUUGCUUUCUACAUGUGACAGAAGCUAUCCAAGAAAACUAUAUAUGCAAGUCUCUCUGUGUGGUGGUGAUUGUGAGAUAGAGAUAAAGCACCUGUGAGAUAAUUGCUUGAGGUGGCUGUGCAUUAGCUGAAGAAUGGACCCCAAUAGAUGCAUCCCUUCCAUACAUCGAUAAACCUUGGUGAGGCUGUUUCUCCAUAGGAGGAAGGUCAGCUGGAGGAUAAUAAUUAUCAUGUUGUCGCGGAGGCAUCAUAUACUGAGGAUUUGACCCAAAGCCAGGCCCGCCGCCUGCGUGCUGUGAUCCAAAACCAGGACCACCACCUGCAUUUUGUGGCCCAAAACCAGGACCUAUACCUGCAUGCUGUGGCCCAAAACCAGGACCACCACCAGCAUUUGGUGGAAAACCUUGAGGCCCCCAGGACUGGUGUGGUGGUGGUGCAUUGUAAUCCAUUUGGGGAUGAGGGUUUUGCAUCUGUCAGACAAAUACAGUCAUACUUCACAACAAUUUCAAUGUAUCUGGAGACCACUACAAAGCUAGCUGCAAAUGCUCACAAACUAUUGAAGACGAAAACAGACUUACUUGCAUUUCAAAUAUUCCAAUUACACUUCGAUCGACUAAAAACUUCCUUAGAUGCGAUGCAAUUAGUUCUACUGCUUUGUGGACACCUGAUGCUUCGCCUUGUACCUCAACGAUCCUGUCAUCUUCUAGAGCAAACACUGGUAGAUCAUCUGCAAGACCAAAAAAUUCCAGCACAUUACACAAAGAAUGUAUAUUCUUACCUUAAGAAACAUGUGAAAUACAUGAUACUAAAAAGAAUUGCUUGAUUUUCAAUUGUUCAUCAGCAAAAUGAAGCUUGCAUAAUUAGAAAGUUACAGAUCGGAAUAAUUUCAGAGAAAAACUUACAACAGUAGUAUUCACAUGUGCCUUCAAUAGUCGUGCAACAUAUGUCUAUUAUAUAAUGAAUACAACAGUCGCAGCGUUAAAAGCACGGUAAAAAUUGCCACGACAAUUUGCAAAAUUCCGAGGAAAACUGGGCGUUUGGGAAACUAUUGUCAGAUUCUAGUCAACUCGUGAUGGUGCAUGAACCUCGACUUAUAAGGGUGCAUGAACCAAAUAUCAUAAAUAUAGGUCAGAUAUCGCUAAAAUAAUCGACAAAGAAAUAUAGAGAACUUAAGCAAGAGAGAGAAAAAAAUGAGAUAGGGAAGUUUCCUAAACCAAAAUUAUUUAGCACCAUUUGAUAAACACUUCGCCAAAUAAAUAUCACCUCAUCACACCAUAACGCACUCAUGAGUAUGGUAGAUCAAUAGAGUACAUAUAAGUAUUGUUGUGAGCAACAAAAGCGAAAAAUCUAUAUUUGGUUGAAUGGAGGCAGGGCUUAUAUUUUCGAAAUAAAAAAGAAAGUGCAAAAAUGGAUAACAUAAUUAUAUAAGAGCACUAUGUUCCUGAAAACAAGAACCACUGCUGACUAUUUUCUUCUUUUUAAUAAACAAGACUAAAACGAUUAAUUAUGAAAACGAUCAAUUGAAGUUAUAACUUUACCUAGAAACUUAAAGAGAAGAGAAAUAUAUAGAGAGGGAAUGGCAAAUCCUUUGAAGCUCACCUUGACCAAGAACCCGAAUAAUACAAUUUGAUGCUUCUUGAAUAGAUUUUAUUGUUGCCCCUUGCUUCCCAAUCAAGCUUCCAGCUUGUGUAGCUCCAACAAGAAACCUUGACAAUAUUGUCCCAGCAGUGUUAGGUGGAGCAUUGGAAAGAUCACUAUCCAGACCAUCAGCAAUACGUUUGUGGACCCUUAGCAGACCAUCAAUUGCAGGUGGAAGAGGGGCAUCCGGUUCUUCUUUCGCUGAAAUCAAUACCUAAAAUAUAUAAAAAAACAAAGUGGAAAAAGAACAUAUUGGUAAAUGAUCGUCAUGAAAUAAGGAUAAAUUUAACAAUAGGUCAGUGACAUCACAUUGUUCUCACUCCAUUCUAAAAUUUUACGCAUCAAAUAGCAAUCUGAAUGUGUGUUAUGAUAUGUAGAUGAACAGUAAAUCAAAAAUCUAAGAUCAUGUUUCUCAUUAGAUACAGGCUAACCCAGAUGAUGCAAGGUACUCAAGCAAGUAUUCUUUACACCAAACAUAUGUAAUUAAAGAUUCUACUUUAUCUCCUUUCAAGAAGUUAGAGGAUAUAUCAUUAUGGGUAACAAUCCUACUACAAAUAUCUUAAUUAGCAAAUUGCACGAAAGCGACUCCCAUAAUGACAACUCAAUUUGCAAACAACAAUUGUACCACAUAAACCUCAAACUGUCAGACAUAAAGCUUCCAGACAUGCAUUUGGAGACCACAGGUUAUGUGCAUGCCCCAAAUAUACAAAUUGCAAUGCAAUUAGCUCGACAGUGAAUUUUUGAAUUCAACAUUCACUAUACUUUGUAAACCAUCUGAGCUAUAUGCUCAAAAGAUGUUUUGGCCUUUGUUUUCAGAUUCGACUUACUAUGAAAUAGAAAUGUAUUUAAGAUUACGAUGUAAAUGGCAUGCUCUUAAUGCUUAUGUGCCUUGUACUUGUUGCUACAGGACUUGGCAACCACCCCAACCUAAAAAGAAAAAAUAAAUCACUUUUUCAAUUUGGUCAUGUAGCUAUAUAAUUGUGUAAAAAUAUCCCGUUUCGCAAUAAUAUAAGUUGUCAUUGAGCUAUAGACUAGUGACAUGGUGCACAGAGAAUAUAAUUAUACAACAGUUUCUUUUCAGUAGAUCAACCCCUGUUGCAUAUUUUAAUGUUUUCUAGUAUACUUAAGCACUUGGUACUUUCCGAGUUUUUGGUUAUUUAAUCAAGUUACCUCAAACCAACAAGGUUACAAUCUAAAUCCUACCUUAAAGCCCUUUAUUCUGUAAACAGUAUCCUGAAGAUGGUCUCAUAAGUCGUUGCCUACCACAGAAUACAUCAUACUUCUUAUUUUUUUAGCUACGUAGAACCUUUGGACUAAAUUAUAUUACUUUCAAUUUUAUUUUAUUUCCUCCAUCAACCUUUUACAGAAACAUUACUUAAUUGAAGAGUUAUCAAUUAUUAAAUAGUCUUUAGCUUCAUUAAAAACAUAUGUGUUUAACUGUUUUGAGACAUUGCCAAAGAAUGUGGUGUUAAAAAUGAACUUAAGUAACCAUUUUUAGAUGCAAUAGUAUUAAGUAUCAUGUUAUUGCUAAUUUUGAAAUGAGGCUUGUUGUAGUAGUUUAAACAUGUGUGGAAAGAUAUCAGCUAACCAAGUACGUUACCAGAGUAAACGCAGAGCUUCUUGGUACAGAACUUUGUCCAAGACUCCGAAGUAUCUAUGAGUACUUAGUCAAAUCAACUUUUCAGCACAUGUCUUGCUCGAUGCUGAUGUUAGCGAUCUCGAUCUUUGUUCUUCUAGUUUGGAAUCACUUUUGUGAUUCAUUCAUUGCCGUUUAGGUUCACGCGCAGAUCCUGCAAACAUUAGUUGUGAUUAUUGUGAAGCACGGUAUUGGAUCUACGCCUUAUUAAUUGGUAUUUAUCUUUUCGCUCUUUUCUUUUUCCUUUUCAAUUAAAUUAAAUUUACUUUGGGGCAUGUUAAGUGUUAACAUAUACUUAUUAAAAGGUUAUGUUAUUCGCCCUUGACAAUCUAAGAUACAUCAAGUUAUUCUUGUAUUAGAUACUCGGUAUUGUAUAUGCAUCAAUUCCAUAAAAGCCUCCUCAAAUAAAUUAAGGAGGUAUUCCCAAGAUUUCAGCAUAAUAACUGCCUAAAUUUAGUUGUCCCAUUAAGCUGGCAAAGGUUAACAGAGAAGGAUGACUUAAUAGGUAAUGCCUCUCGCUCUCAGUAAUACAAAAUCAUCUUUACAAGUUAACAUCAGAUCUUGUCUGUGCCUAAACAGCAUACAAGUGGGGAAUUUCAGAUUAAUAUGAAGAUAACCGUCACAAAAAGCCACCGUGGCAACUAAUAUAAUAUUAAAUGUUUCCCAAAGAUAAUGCCACAGGGAUUAAGGAAGAGUAUAGAAAAGCUUAAUCACGACUUCGAUCAGUGAAUCACAUUGUUUGGAAUAUGUCAUGCAAAAGGUCAGUUGUUUCAUUUGCCUUCUCGUGCAAGUAAUCAAAAAGAAAUACGCAAAGCUAACAAAUUGUAUUUGUUAAUACAUCUAAAACCCUAAAUAAACUAUAUCUAUGUAGACUGUCAAUCUAAUCCUACACUAUCAGUUCUACAGGUCCGAGUAUUCUGAAACAAAAAGCUCUAUCAUAAACAACUUACAGCUCUUUCUUGAGUGCCUGGAGGACCAUCAAGAAUUUUAAUGCGAGCUCUAGUCUCCUCACACAUUUUUUUGAUAAAUUCUCCUUUGCGGCCAAUGAUUCCCCCAACUUUUUGUGAUGGAACUAGGAUUCUAAAAACACUUUCUCCAGGCCAUCCAGGCCACCUCUUUUCAACAGGUCCACCUCCUAAAUCAUCAUCUUGUCCUUGCUGUUGUUGAGUGUCUGUGUUCUCUGGCAUACUUGCAUCAAGUUCAUUGUUGUAAUCUUCCCCGGAAGCUUCCAUACUGCAAGAACAAAAAUUUAUAAUUCAUGAAUAAAUUUGAGGGGAAGUCACAGACAAUUUCAUACAUGAUAAAAGUUUUUAAAAAUCUGAAUAUCUACAAAUUCUGAAUCCAAAGAAUAAAACAUAAAAUCUUCAAGAAGUUAAAUAAAUUGUCCCAUCAUAAAAGCAAAGCUAAAACCAUACAAUUUAAAAACAACCUACCAUCUAGAAAGAAGAACUGCAGCCCCUUAAUUUAUUAGCACAGAUGAGCAAACCGUCAAGAAAAAUUACAAAUGGUUAUAGAGAGAAUCAAUAUACUUUCACAUAUGAAUCUGAUAACACAAAGCUAAUUUUCCUCUCCUUGUACAGGAUAUAAUGAUAUAUCAAUUUAUUAUAAACAUACUUCAUUUUGUUAAGUUUUAUCUCAAUACAUGGAAUAUACAAGCACGCCUAGAAAAAAUUAUUGCCAACAGAUACGGGUGACACAUGCAAUCAGACACGCCUAGGCACACAAGACUUGCGCCUAUGUGAAAAUGUUGCCCAAAGCAAUAGUGCUUAGUAUGUAUAAGCAAAUCACGAAGUGAGCCAGUUUUUUUUUUGUUUUGUUUUCCUUUAUAUUUGUCCUCAUCUUAAACUUCCCCACAAAAUCCUCGACCAAUUUAUGAUUGCUAGUUGCGUUCAAGAUAUCCAAACCUCUUAAUUGAAACAGAUGUCACUUUUAAUCGAAUAUGAACAAAAAAACCCACAAUUUUGAACAACAUGUGAAACAAAAACAGGUUGGGAGUUCGUAAUUUAGAUAAAUCCAAGCCUAUGGUGGUGACAUAUAUUCUUUUGAGACAGAUCAAAUUUUACAAAUAAGAACAACACUAUAAAGCAGUCUACACGAGUUUCGAAGCUCUAUCAACUCAUCUGAUAUAAACAAAAUCACAUACGAACACCUCAAGCUUUAAAGAACAUGAAUCGAACACGAAUUACUUAAUAUAGAAAGAUUAAAUCCUAGCCUUAACUAUAUUCGUUAAUUCGUUAAAGAUAGGUGAAGUUCGUUUGUUCGUAAAACAAGAAAAUGAACUAAAUCAAAGAGUUUGAAAAAAGAAAAACAAAUCAUAGAUUCACCAUGAAACCCUAGAUUUAAGAGAGAGAGAGAGAGAGUUAAACUUACAGUUUCUGAGCGAUGAGAGAUGCAGAGAGAGCUUUGUUGAAGAAAACGGCGGGGUGAACAGAGAGAGAGAGUAGAGAGAGAGAGAGAGAGAGAGAGGUGACUGGUGUGCGACGAAGUUAGGUUUUAUCCCUAGGAGUGAGUGACAAAGAUGCUUCGACAGGCCUUUUAUUAGUGAGUGAUGAAUUGAAUUCUAGAUUCUCACGUAAAAGGGUCGGGUAUAAUACGGCCCGAAUCAAUAGUGACAGUUUUGGAUUUUGGGCCUUUUGAAGUGAGACCCAAUAACUAGGCCCAUAGACUUCAGAAAAGUCCGUAAUGGAUGAUUUAAAAGAAUCAAAAGAUUUAUGAACUCUGAUAUUUGGUAUGCUAGUCACCUUACACAAACAAAAUCUGGUUUUACUUGCAUUGAUGUUUUAAAUUACAUUCAUUCAACUUUCUCAUCUUCAAAAACUGAUUUCAAACAUUGUUUGUCCUCUGUCGUGUCCAUUGCAUAUUUUAUCUGCCUGCAUGGAAAUAAUGUUGUUUUCAAGGAUGUUGCUCCCAAACCAUCAUUCCAACAAGUUCUAAUCCCAGCCCAAAGAUCUAUCAUUCCUGAACCAAGACCUACACCUCACAACCACAUCAGCCCCAGCCUUAUACCUAAAGCUAUUAAGCAAUCCUUAUUCCUUUUACUUACUGACGGAUCGUACGAUGAGACUAGUGCAACUGCAGGUUGUGGUUACUUAUAUGGACAGUAUGCUCACAUCCCAACUUUUGCAGGAAUCAAUCGACUUAUUGCAGCAUCAGCCGAAGAAGCAGAGGGCAGAGCCAUCAAACAAGGAUUAAGUUGUGCUCUAGGUGAAUCUGUGAAGCAUGUUGUUGUUUUGUCAGACGGUCAAAAUUGGAUUUGCAAGAUAAAGGGUGAAAGUGCAGAUUUAGCUUGGGAACACAAUGCUCUUUUGGCAGAUAUUCAGUGUCUGGUUGCGCAAUUCUCUUUUUGUGUUUUUGUUUGUGUUCCUAGAUCUCUUGUCAACUGUGCACAUGUACUUGCAAAUGAGGGACGUCUGUUUGUGUCUUAUACUCUUAUGUUGUUAAGGAAAUGUGUAAAUGUGGUCAGGGUAGUACAUAUUUACCUUUCAGAGUCUUCAAUGCCUUUAGAGAAAAGGCAGAUGAUAUGUACAAACUAUUAUCCUUCUAUUAAUAGUAGUGCGUUCUUUUGAAACAAAAAAAAAAAAAAAAAAAAAGAUUUAUGAACAUCAAAGAUAACAUCAAAAUGAUUUUUGGGGCCAAAUGUUGUUUUUAAUUUUGUUCAAUCUAUACAAACUUUGCAACAUCUUUCCAUGCAACUUCAUUUAGUUUUCACAAGAAAGCCUUCUCUCUAAAAAAGUUUCCCAUAGUACAGUUCCAUAAUCCCAAAUGCAUUUAACCAAUCUUGGUUUAUAUCUCAACUUGAUUGAAUUGAUUCUGCAAUUCAGCCACCAAACAUUAGGCUAGGUUAACUAGUAUAGUAGUAUACCAAUAUAUGUGAAUACAAUACCAAGUGUUACAAACUUACAACAAACUAUAAUACUAUGCAAUAUGCAUUUAACAACCUGACAACACCUAGCUAAUAAUACAAGGAUAGUAAAAUACUGCUGUGUGCAUAUACAUAUAAGUUCUAUGUAGGUAGGGGGUGAUCAUUUGUAGGUGUAUAUAUAUCCUUACAUAAGAAGCUUGCGAGAAGUUCGGCACCAUUGGCUAUAGGAUUUUUGAAGAUUGGGCCAAUCUGAAUUGCAAUAGAUGUAGUCUUGGAGCCAAUUUGUAAGGAUUAUUUCUUGAUCAGCUACAGGCAAGGAAGAAAUGACUUCAUCCAACAUUUUCUCCAUUUCAUUUUUCUCUGUAACUGUUAACGUUGGGUAUGGAAGUCCAUCAUGGCUUGCGUAGCAGAAUAAAGGUAGCCAUAGUAUGAGUAGUCUAAACUUCACCAUCCUUGGAACCUCAGUUUCUCCUUUUGCAAGCUCUCGAACCAUAAUAGCUGUGAAUAUUCAAAUGAUAAUGUCCUGUUAGUAACUUACUACUAUGAAAAAUUAUGCUGCGCAUUUUCUUUGAUCUUUAGAGUCCUCAAAUUCCAAAUAUAGUUGUACUACAUUUCACAGUAGAUCAUAGAGAUAGAGAUACGAAACUCACCAGAUAUUAUGACCAUGGUGCUUUGCACUCUUGGAUUUGCCAUAAGGGAUGAUGAAGCUAAAGCUGAUGCAAAGCUCCACUGCACCAAUGCUUCGUCGACAGCCCCACAACCUCUUAGCUUUUUCGUGAUCCACAACAGCUCUUGUGCAAACUUCUCGGCCUUGACAAAAUCAUAUCCCCCAUGUGUGGCCUCACUGCUGCUACCACUUGCAACAUUGUUACCUAUUGGCAAAAAACUGGAGAGAUAUCGGAUUCCCUUAAAGUAGAAAGCAAGAUACGAUCCAAGAGGUAACGAGUAUAAUAUUCGCGAAGGCCAUCCAUCAGUUUGACUAAUAACGUCACGGCUGAUGUGCAGUGAUUGGUACAGUAAGUUGGUUGUACGAGCAAAUGCUGACGAAAGGGCAGCACGAUUGAUCUCUUGCAGUGCUACAUGACCAUCUCUUACAUUCUCGUCCACAAUGUUUUCAGCCAUUGCCAUUGCGAAUUGGUACUUCCUUGACGUUGCAGGCAUAUCAUUCAAUAAGGAAAAAAUCUGCAAAGACCAAACAAUAUAAGAAAAUCAAUUGUAAUCAGUUUCCGGUAAUCACAGAACGUAGGAUAGAAUGAUAGAUAUACAAACUUUACACAAUAAUAUAGGCAUGCGUUCUAGACAAUUAACUGAAAAUCGAAGUAUCUGACCUGAUGAUCUGAUACCCAUCCGAAAGAGUUCAAUGUUUUUAUAUGCAGGGCUCAAUUUUCCUCUAGAGUGUAACAUGAUAACACGGACACAAACAAAUGCCUAUUUGAACUUGCUGUCAUACAGGAUGUUCGAAACAUAUACAGUCAAAAUUUUGGUUUGGACUAAUUUGGUGUGAAUAUUCUGAUCCUAUGGCAAACCGAAAAUCCAUGGCCAGUUCUGCCAUUUGGAAUUUCGUUGGAGUAUAUUUCCUUUUUAUGAAUUCACAAAUUCCACUUAUGAUCUUGAUACAUAAAUGCAAAACCCAUCCGUUCAUUUGUAAACAGGUUAAUUACUUAGGGUUCUACCUAGUUUUUCAAAGAAACCAACAUUAUCAUUCAUAAGAUAGUAAAACGAAAUUAAUCUAUGAAUCAAUGUCAUCAUCUUAUCAAGAUGAUUUCAUGAACUUGGUCAAAAUUAUUGGAACCAUAUUUGGUCAAAUUCUUAUUGCUUUGACUGCAUCAUUCAUACUCACCCACUCAAAAUCUAAAUCAAAUAUGACUAUCACCGACUCAAAAUCAGUACUGUAAAUCAAAGGAGAAAAAAAAUUCUUACAUGUGAAAGUGCUCUACCAAUGGCUAUACUAGAUGGUCCACCACACUCAUCUGUGUAACCAUCAUGCACAACCAAAUCAGUUGAUGUUGAUGAUGAAGAAGAUAACUCAGAAGAAGAUCCAAGGCCGAUUAAUCCACCACCAGUAAGAAAAUAAUGAGGAGAUGGAAGAAAAGAACAAGGCAUAUAAUCCAUUAAAACGCGCAGAAACCAUACAGUCAUCCAAGUCAUUAACAUGAACAUAUAACGUAUAUGAUCAGUUAUUCCCCAUUUCUCUACUACACCACCACUUCUUGUUGAUGUUGAAGCUACUGAUAAAAGACUUUUAGCAGCUGUGUUAACUGUAGACAUGAAAAGAGAGUUUAAAAGUGAUGAUGGCUUUGUUGGAUAUUUGAUUAUUUGCUCCAUCUUGACCCCUUUUUUUUCCCUGUGAAUUGAGAUGGUGGGAAGAACUGAAGAAGAAGAAGGAGGAGAAGAGAAAUUUAAAGGAAGUUUUGCUAGUUUGGAAUUAAGGUAGGUUGCUUAAUAAGAUUUGCAAGUAUGUUAUAGACUUUUGUAUCAUUUACCUGAGAAAAUAACAAAAUAGCACAUUCAUGCAUUUUUUGUUCGGUUUCUUUUUUCAUUUACCCAAAUUACCCUCCAUCAUACUUUAAGAUUAAAAUUAACAACUACAGUCUUCUGAGGGUACUACUGUAAAAGAAGGUUUCGUCUUCCAAGCUUCCUUGUGACCAGGGAAGAUUCUGUUUGAUUCUUUGAAUUAUAUCAUCAAGCGGUGUAGACAUUGGGAUGACGGUGGUACACAAUCUGUCAAAAUUAAAGGAGGUUAACGCUAACCAUGCUAAUCAGCUAAUGUGCUUUUUAUACCUGAUUCCAAAAAUGAUCUCGUGGUGCAUGUUGUCCUCUGCAACCACCACAAUCUGACAAGUGACACUUGGGAAGUUUCUUAUUGUGUUGUAUUUGUUUAUAGAUCGACAUGUGUGAGUUACUGCUAUCCAAGAAGUGGAUCUGUUAGUUCUGGAAUCAAACAUAAUUGCCAACAAUAAACAUGAUUAUCAAUCCACUAAGUUGGGCUUUAAAGUUGGGCUUAUUAAUGAUAACUAACUGGUCUCUGUUGGGCUUUGCAUGACAUGUCACAUGUUGACGGGAGUCAAAGUGUAGUAGAAUUAAUAAUGGAACUGGUGUGCUUGGACACUAAUGAUUUCUUUUGAAAAGUCGAUAAAAAGUACUACACCUUAAACUCAUCAAACACUGGUGAAGUAAAAGGAAGAAGAAGAAGAUGAGUUUGAGAUUUCUUCAAGUUCUGAUUAUUCUGCCAAUUCUGUUCUUCUUUCAUGCAAAUUUAACUUAUAGUAAUGAAGAAGACCCAACAAUCAAAACAAUAGAACAGUUCUCAGGAUAUGCAAUUCAUGAAUCCCAAUCAUGCUCUGCAUCUUCUUUAUCAGUCGAUACUGAUAGCUUACAACGACAAGUAAUGUAACACUUCUUGAUAGUUAAUAUUAAUGGGUUUUUAUUAUUUUCUCUAAAUCUUCACUAUUUGUUCUUAAUUUUGUUGUUGAGCUAGAUGGAGUGGAUAUGAAGAAAUUUUAAUUUGUUUGAUGUUAAUAUUUGAAUUAAGUAGGUUCAUUUUGUGCAAAUUUGGUUGUUUUAAUGCAUUGUCUGAAGUGGGUAUUUUGAAUUGUGUUAUGUAGAUUGAUGAGCUAUCCACUUUCUCUGAUACACCUGCUCCAUCAGUUACUAGGAUCUUGUACAGUGAAAAGGAUGUAUUGGCUCGAAGGUAUGUGUAGUGAAGUAUAUCAAAUUGUGACAGUGAUGAUCAUAUAAAAAUGAUUAUAGUGAUGAAAUGCUAUUUUUUUUUUCUUGUUAAAAAUAUCACUUAAUGUGUUCGCACCUACAGUACAAUUCUGAUCUAUCUUGCUGUGGGCAUGCUUCGCAUAUCAUUACUUAUUUCUAUUUUAUAUUGGCAAUGUUGAUAUUCGAUACUGUAGCAAUUCUAGUCAGCUGCGGCAACAUUUUCAGUCCUUAAGUAUAUGGCUUAAGUUUGUGGAAAUAACAGUCUGUUAAGUGCUAAUUCCUAGAGAUACAUAUGAGAAAUUCUAUCUUGGACACUUGUUAGAAUAGCAUGCUGCGAGGUUUAUAAGGUUGUAGGAUUCUCAAAGUAUAGGAGCAUUUUGGUUCUUAUUAUCAUAUACCGUAUCCAAAAUGUUUGUUUGUGCAAAUUGUUUUUGGUUAGUCUAUAGUUUGUAAGCGUCUGGUCAGAUUCUGAGCUAUCUACAAAUCUUCAACACUGAAAAUAAGAUAUUGUCUGUGAUGUAUACUUUAUGUUCGAUAUCUUAUAGUAUUAUAGUAACUGGUUACAUUCAUUCAUUUGGUUGCUAGUUUAAUCUUCCUAAGUUGUUGUUGGGUUUUUGUUUUCCAUUUUGUUUGUUUUGCCACUUUUGUAGUUUUCUCAUGACACCAUCUGUUUAUAAUUUCAAAUUUAAAUUUGCAGAUAUGUCAAAAACUUAAUGGGACUUGCGGGUUUAUCUGUUAGAGAGGAUGCAGUUGGCAACAUAUUUGGUCGAUGGUAAGUGUUUGAAUCUCUAUUACAUGACAAAUGUGGAAUAACCGAAUAAUAUACAGUAUAAGGAGGUAUAUGAUUUCCAUCAUAUUUCUAUAAAUUGCAUUUUCUAGUGGGUAUGUAGUUUGAUUUUUAAUUUUUUCGAAAAACUAUAAGUAGGCUUUUGUUGCUCUAGUUUUGCAUGAGCCACUUAGUUGAAGAACUACAGUACAUAGUGUAAGCCCUUUCCUUUAUGAGCUUAGUUGAGUUCCUUACUGCUUCACCGCUACUACCUGCAAUGACCACCGGACAAUGACCGGUGGAUAAAGCUCCAACAAUCAAGUCAGUAAGCGGCUAGGUUUAGAAAAUAGGUUUUAGCAAGGAAUGAACAGUUACCUUUAGCGAACCCUAACGCGAUCCUUUUAUAGCGAUAUUCACCGCCUUCCUUUAACCGUAGGAUCCCCCUAUGCAUCCUAUGGUUCUCUCAUCUCCUACGUGUUUCAUUCUCCAUCACAUACUAUAAGGUGAAUGCUUGACAGCCAGACAUCACGUGCUCUAUCCGUGAUACUCUAGAAUGUUCUGUAUUCUGAUUGGGUACCUCCCGGUUUGCUCUCCUUAUCUGGCUCCUGUGUCCUCAAUGUUCCACCUAGCAUGACUUGGUACUUACAUCGCCCCUCCUUUGACCGUUAUCAAUAUACAUUUGAUGGCGGCUCAAAGGCUUUUUCUCUAAACGUAGACUCCUUAUGGCGGCGGGAGACCGUCAUGAUUCCUUUUCAUCACUUAAUCUAUCACCUGCUUCUCACGUGCCCUUAGUCUUAUCUUAUCCUUAUCUUUCCAGCUGUUCAUUAAUUACGCAUGCCCUCGUGUCCCGUGCUUCCGACGCAUGCCUCUUUGAUUUCCCCUAGGCGUAAUCAUAAUUCGGACGGCUACCCUUCCACUUCCCAACGCAGUUGUCUUGUCAUCACUGAUCUUCCUUUAUUUUCUUCCCAUAUUACCCCUUCAUCUACAUUUGUAUAAAAACCAAAUCUUUAACCUACUUCCCCCAUUUGCUUUCAUUCUCUUCCAUUCUUCUCUUCUUGUUUAUUUUUCUCUUCCGCCUCCGACUUGUUUACAGCAUCUCACACCGUCCGGAAUCCUGAAAAGCUCGAUUUUCUUCUCUAUUUCUCCCUUCGUCGACUAUCUCAGGUUAUUCUUUCUUCCUUACUUGCUUGAUUUUAAUUUAACCACUACUAGAUUUAGAUUUUCCGUUUUUCAUUUUUCUUCUCCUUGCUAUAUAUUCCAAAUUAUGUUUGCUGUAAGUUACCAAUUUAUUCUUCUCCUCUCUUUUCCUCCUCUAGGAGUCACCCUGUACACGCCCCUAAUCUUUCUUUCCUUACGAUUUUGGUGAGCCUUUUUUUAUACAAAUGGCUUCUCAUCAAAAUCAGAAGAAGAAAGAUUCUUCGAAGAAGUCGGUUGAAAGAGGUCAAGGUGAUGGCGGUGUUCAUCCCUCUCCUUCCGGUUACUACCUUGAUUCGUAUGAGCCCAGCACUUAUCCAUAUAGGCCUGAUUUAGAUUUAUUCUGUGAGUUGUACGACAUCCCCGAAGACAUAAAAAAUUUCAACUACCGACAUGCCCUACGUUUUGCACAUCACGAAUUUCGCCGCCAAGAUGCUAUUAUGGUGACAGCCCACCAAAUAGCUUUUGGUUGCCGGUUUCCUUUCACUGAUUUAGUCCGUGAUGUGCUCAACUUUUACCAAGUCGCCCCUGGACAAUGUAUUGGUAACUUCUGGCGUAUCUUGCGGGCCAUAGACCAACUUAAUAACGAAGGAACCACCGUUUCCCUAGCUGACAUACGUCAAUGUUAUUAUCUUCGGGUCUGCGAAGAAAAAUGUGGUCAACCUUACUAUUAUUUCGUCAAACGCCCCGGUAGGCGGUCCAUUAUUGAAAAAUUGCCGGAAAGUGACAAGGAAUGGCCUGACUUUCCUAUGAUUGUCUUCGGCAACUUCGGGGGAGAAGGACCUGGCAUUUCCAACCCCUUAAAAUACUGGCGAUUUAAUUUAGGAGGUUUUUUCCUUCCUUUUUCUAUUAACAUUUCUAGGAUGAAAAUCCUUUUGAUUGUGUCUUUCUAAUCCUUACCAUAUUUUCUUUUUUCUGCCAUCCCAGAAGUUCGCGGUGACGGCAAGGCCAUAAAACCCCGCAAAGACACCCCUUGGGAGCCCUUGAUAGGGUCUGGAACUGACGGUUACUCCGCCCUUCGUGAGCUUACUCUAUCAAGGAAAGACGGUACCCCGCUUGCUAAGGAUCUUGACCUAGGGGAAUACGUCUUGCCCGUCUGCUGCCACAAAGAUUAUCUAAAGGAUAAGAAAGGCAGGUCUUCUACUAUUCCUCCUACUUCCCGAUCAACACAAAGGAAGGGUAAGGCUUCUGCUGCUGCCGCUACUGAGUUGGAGAGAAAAUCUGAUGAUGGCGGAGAUAAUAUCCCACUUCAGAAGAUCCUAACUAAAAAGAGAACUCGUGAACCUCCUUCCGCAGUUUCAGCGCCAUCCGAGAAGAAGAAGCAAAAAAGAGUAACUGCCCAACUUCCUCCUUUCUUAGCUGCUCUUCGAGUUCAAAAGAUUGUCAGGCACUGUAGUCGUGAUCUUUCUUCUUCUUCAACUGAAAGUUCUGAUUUUCAGGCAGUCCAAGGUGAACCAGAGACAUUGCCGGAAUCUCCUGAAUUUCCCCUGGCGCGUCCAAAGCAUCCUGGUCCAAGCAUCCCUAGAGUGAAAAGGGCCACAAUGGCUGAAGUUCCUUCUCCCCUCCCGGAAUCUCCUUCUACUUCCUCCAACGAUUCCAUGGAAGUUCCUUACCAACCAGAUUUUAGUGGGCACAAGGUUUCCGUGAACCUUGAUGAACUUGGAUUUGGUGAUGAUGGUCUCACAUUUGGAGAUAUCGGCACAAACGACGUCGCCCAACCAGGUUCAACUUCUCAUCCUUCAUCUUCUCCCGCUAGGGGAUUUCCCAUGGCUCUCCUUGAUCCAAACGAGCCCCCUACUGUUGGUGUGAUGCCUCCACCACUUCUUGCUGAUCACGAAAUUUUUGACGUUGUUACAUUUGUUGCACCUAUUCGUGAAGCACCUAAGUACACCUUCCAUCGUACUUCUAAUUAUUCUUCAUCUGGAUCAGGUGAUCAAGCCGGGGAUGAUCCGCAAUUCUCUCCAACUCCUGAUGUUGAAGUUAAUCCGGCAACAGCUACUGGUGAUGCUUCUACACUUCCUGCCGGUGUUAAUCCUCAAGCCCCUCCUUCAUUCUCUGAGUUCAUGCCGGCCCCAAAUUCUGACAAGGUUGGCCCCUCUUCUCGCGUUAACAUAUCUCCUGAUCCUCCGUCUCCCCAGCCUUCGAGCAAGAUUCCUGCUGUUCCUCCUCCAUGUGGUCCCUCCGAUUCAGCCUUCGAUAAUGGAGCAACUGCUUUCUCUGCCCUUUACAAUUCUAUUCUUCCUUCUGAUCAAGCUAGAAUUGAUGAGAUGAGCUUUGAUGAAUGCCGGGAUGCAUUUUUCCGGGGUCUAGCUCUCGUAAGCUUUUUCUCUUUUUUUUUUUUUUUUUUUUUUUUAUAUAUAUAUAUUCUAAACACCUAUUGAAUUGUAGGUUAACGGUAUUUCCGUCAAGUCUUGUUCGUUCACUUCCAACCUGCGAACUGAGCAAGAAAGAAUUAUAAAAGAGAAGCAUGACCUCACAGUGGACAAGAACCGAUUAAUCCGCGAGAAAUGGGCUCUUCAAGCUGAGAUCAAGCAACUUAAGAUUGAACGAAAGGAAGCAGCCGCGUCUCGUGAGGCCGAAAUCGAGAAGAAUCGGAAAAGGCGGGUGGGCGAGCACCGUGAGCGCAUUGUUGCACUUGAGGCUGCUCACGCCACGGAGAUAGCGAAGUGGGAGGGGAAAUACCAUGACCAAAUAAUCACAAUAGAUGAACUCAAAGUCAGUCAUGAAGUUGAUUAUGAACAGUACCGGCUCGAAAUAAAGGAGCAAAAGGAAACUCUUCUGGCUGAGUAUAAAUUAAAAUACGAGGAGCUGGUGGCGAAAUCCAAAGAGCAGAUCACCAUGCAAGUGAAGGCUCAGGUGAAGGAGAACUUGUCCUCCAUUCUUGCUGCCAAGAGAAUGCGGAUGACGCCAUCAUCUCCCAGUGCUUCCACCCGAGAUCCCCUGCCUUGAGGUGUAAUUUGACUAAUCUUCCGGCACUACUUUUGUGCAAUUGUAAACUUUUACCCUAUCUUUUUGAUCUGAAACUUCUGUAAUUGUUACCAAUUAAUGCUACUUUCUGGUAUUGGUUUCUCAUGUGUUAACAUUAGGCUAUACUUCUACUGAUCCCGUCGUCACGGUUCAGCAAGUGCAACCCCAUUAACACAUUAGCACUAUUGCUCUUCUCUCUUAGAGGCACCCCACUGUAUUGUCUAAAUCAAACUCAGUGGGGAAGAAAUAAUCAUAUAGAGACUUUAACAUUUAGUUAACGGCUUGCCUUGCCAAGUCUACACUUAUGUUAUUUCCCACCAACCUUAGUUGGAUUUCUUCUAUGCCUGACCUUUGGCCUGGUCUCAGACAAUACUGAUAUAUAUAACUGGAUAAAUCAACAAAAAUAAACGCUUAUAUUUUCAUUGAAACUUAAACGCAGAUACAUACUUUCUACUCUUUUCAGCGAAUCAAACUUAACAACGCCUACUAUCUUGUUGAUUUAAUACAUCUCUGCCCUCUAGGCAUAGUAUUUCUUUAGAUUGCUAAUACUCCAUGGCUUGUCGAGAGGGGUACCGUCUUGGUAGGUCAAGUAGUAUGCUCCAUUCGUUCCCACCUUGUCUAUCACAAAAGGCCCUUCCCAGUUUGGCUCUAGCUUGGCUGGAGGCGGAUUCUGUUUUCUUAGCACAAGAUCCCCUGGAACAAGGCUUCUUGGCUUGACUUUUUUGUUGUAAGUCCUUUCUAGCUGUCGGUGAUAACUCUCCAAUCUGAGCUUGGCACGCUCCCGUACCUCCUCUGCUAAGACCAGCUCUCUCUCUAUUAUCUCAUUAUUCUUCCCCAGGUCGACUACCAUCCUUCUAGCCGUAUGUACCAACAUUUCUUGAGGGAUCACAGCUUCCAUGCCGUAGGUGAGAGAAAAUGGAGUUGCCCCUGUAGAUCUUCUCGGUGUCGUCCGGUAAGCCCAUAGCACUUCCCAAAGAUUUUCGUACCACUUUUCUUUCUUCUCCUCCAGCUUCUUUUUCAAUACCUCCAGUAUGGCUUUGUUUGAUGCUUCCGCCUGCCCAUUUCCUUGCGGGUGAAAGGGUGUUGCAAAGAGUUGCUUUACGUUAUAACUUGCCAAAAACUGUUUCAAUUCAUCUCCACGGAAUUGAGCACCGUUAUCUGCCACUAUAGCCCUUGGUAAUCCAAACCUGCAGAUGAUGUUGGUCCAGAUAAAAUUUUUGACAUCUACCUCCCUGAUCCUUCGUAACGGUUCUGCCUCAAUCCAUUUCGUAAAGUAAUCUGUGGCCACUAUUAGAUAUUCUCUUCCUUGUGACUUCUCCAGCUUUCCCACAAUAUCAAUUCCCCACAUCGAAAAGGGCCACGGGUUACUAAUAAAAUGAAGGUUUUCAGCUGGGGUAUGUAUCAGUCUCCCAUGAAUCUGACAACCAUGACACUUCUUAGCAUAGUCGCAGCAAUCUUUGUACAUACUCGGCCAGUAAUGCCCAUGUAUCAUUAUCCUGUGUGCCAUGGCCCGUCCCGAAGAAUGACUUCCGCAACUUCCAUUGUGACAUUCCGCCAUGACUCCUUCUGUUUGGGAUGGAUGUACACAUUUCAGUAACGGUCCAGUUGGUGAUCGCCUAUAUAGGUCUUCCCCUAUCAUUGCAUACCUUUUGGAUUGCUCCACAAUAGAUCUAGCUUCUGCUUUCUCUUCCGGAAGAGAACCACUUUCUAAGUAGGUUACUAUUGGGUCCAUCCAGCUUGCUCCCAAGCUUUGAAUGAGGUUGACAGUCACUUCCUUCAUCUCUAUCAUCGGCUGAGAUCUCUGCAUGAACGUUAUAGUUUUGGUUGAAUUUUCUUCUGUUGCCGUUGCCAGGUAAGCCAAUGCAUCAGCAUGCCGGUUCUCUCCCCUAAACAGAUGUACAAUCUCCACCUUCGAGAAUUUUGCUACACUUUUCUUCAAUGCAUCCAAGUACUGCAUCAUCUUCCCAGUUUGAGCUCUAUAUGUUCCGUAGAACUGUUCUACCACCAAUUUCGAGUCCGUGAAAACCGUUACCUCAUUUGCCUCCAAUUUCAUCAAUACUUCCAAGGCUUUCAGUACUGCCUCGUAUUCUGUCUCAUUGUUGGUAGCCGGAAAAGCUAAGUUUUCUGCGAUCUCAAUCUUAGUGUCCUCUGGAGUUACCACUACUAUCCCGAUUGCUGAUCUUCCUUUAUUUACUGAUCCAUCUGUGAACACCUUCCAUCCCUUUACAUUCUUCCAGCCGGUAUCCUGAGUUUCUAGAGACUCUAGCUGUUCUUCCUCUUGCAUUUCUGCAUCCUCGGUUACAUCCUCCACUGGGAAAUCUGCCAAGAAAUCCGCCAGCACUUGUGAUUUUUCCGCCUUCUUGGGCUCAUACUGAAUGUGAUAUUUACUUAAUGAAACUGCCCAUUUUUCCAUUCUCCCAGAACGCUCGAUUUUUGGCAUCACUUGAUUGAGAGGGAGGUUUGAAACCACUGUCAGACUAUAAGCUUCAAAAUAAGGUCAAACCUUUGAGCUGCAAAGAGUAAGGCGAGAGCAUACUUUUCAACUCUUGAAUACCUUGUCUCUGGUGAAGUCAUCUUUUUGCUGAGGAAAUAGACCGGGCUCUCCUUUGAGGCCUCUCUUCUAGUCAGGACUGCACUUACUGCAACGUCCGAUACUGCCAGAUAAACAUAGAGUGUCUCCCCUGGUAACGGCUUUGAUAGAACUGGUGGCUUACUCAGGUAUUCUUUCAAUUUCUGGAAAACUUCUUCGCAUUCAUCAUUCCAAGUAAAGGAUAAAUUCUUUUUCAAGAGCUUCAGAAUUGGCUUGCAUUUAUCUGUGGAUCUUGAUAUAAAUCUUCCCAAUGCUGUAAUUCGGCCAGCUAGCACCUGUACUUCUUUCUGUGUCCUUGGUGAUGUCAUAUCUGUGAGUGCCCUGAUCUGCUCCUGACUAACCUCUAUCUCUCUCUUUGUCACAAUGUAACCAAGGAACUUUCCCGACUGUACCCCAAACGUGCACUUCUCUGGAUUGAGCUUCAUGUUAAACUGCCGCAAUGUUUGAAAGGUUUUUUCCAGGUCUCUUAGAUGAUCAUCCGGCUCCUUGGACUUGACCAACAUAUCAUCAAUGUAAACUUCUACUGUCUUCCUCAGCUGAUUUUCGAACAUCAUCUCUACUAGCCUCUGGUAAGUAGCACCUGCAUUCUUCAAACCAAAUGGCAUUUUGGUAUAACAUAACGUUUUCUUACCAGCAUAGAAGGCGGUUUUCUCUUGAUCUGGACCAUAUAGAGGGAUCUGGUUGUAACCGGAAUAGCCAUCCAUGAAUGACAGUAACCCAAAGCCUGCUGUUCUGUCCACUAGCUCGUCUACCCUCGGCAUGACGUAUCUAUCUUUGGGGCAUGCUUUGUUUAAGUUUGUGAAGUCUAUACAGAUCCGAACCUUUCCGUUUUUCUUAGGUACCGCCACUAUGUUAGAUACCCAUUCUGGAUACUGAACUUCUCUUGUUAUUCCCGCUAACUCCAUCUUUUCGAUCUCCUGUUGUACUGCUUCUACCAAUGUAGGUUUCAUAGUUCUCACUUUCUGUGCAACUGGUUUGAAAUUUGGACUGACAUUUAACUUGUGACAUGCUAUAUCUGGAUCGAUUCCUGUCAUAUCAUUCAUAGACCAAGCAAAUACAUCUAUAUUAGCUUUUAAGAAUUGUAAAAGGUCAUGCCUCACCUUCGAAUCCAAGCUUGUUCCCAUGUAGGUGAUCUGUUGACCCCCUACUUCAUUGAGGUUGACGGGUUCCGUUUGUUCUUCUGUCUUUAAAGCUUCACGCGGGAACCCGUCAUCCUCCUUCUGUCGUUGCUAUGCAGGGACAGAUGACGGCCCAGCACCUGCUGUGCCAUGCCUCAUACUUUUUACUGUUGCUAUCUUCAAAUUCUUGGCCAUAGCUUGAUUACUCCUUAUCUCAUAUUGCCCGUCUUCAGUCGGGAAACGGAUUUUCUGAUAGUAACUUGACGGAAUUGCCUUCAUGAGAUGAAUCCACUCUCUCCCCAAGAUUGCAUUGUACUCUGUUGGUGCAUCUAUAACCACAAAUCUUGACAUGACAGUUCUGGUGUGUGCUGUAACCGGUAAGACUAUCUCUCCAACUGGCCGCACUGCUCCCCCAUUGAAUCCGUAAAUGUCUCCAGGCGAAUUUGUCAAGCUGCCUCUUUCUAGUUUCAUUUGGUCCAAGCCCCUGGUAAACAAAACGUCUACUUCACUUCCACAAUCUACUAGCACUUUUGUGACAUUCCAAUUUCCAAUGAGUAUGGAAAUGACCAAUGGGUCAUUGUGUGGCGUAACUACUCCUUUGAGAUCUUCCUCAGAAAACCCAAUCGGAUCACUCUGAUGCACUUGCUUGCCGUUUCGCAUGACUGGUACGGCUCCUACCGUUCGCGGAUCUUCUCUUAUCUGCAUCACUCUUCGUAUCUUCCUCCUGACCUCGUUCAUGGAUUCUCUCGCUCCUUCUAAGAUCAUGUUAACGGUCCCUCUGACCUGAACUUCUGUUCUGUCUUCCUCCCUGUUCUUUUCCACUAUAAACUCUCUUAAAUGGCCCUCCUCCAUCCAUUUCCAGAUCAAGGAUUUGAACUCAUAGCAAUCUCCAGUAGGGUGGUUGUAAGUCUGAUGAUACUCACAGAAUGGCUUUCCCCUGACUGUUUAACAUCUUACCGAUGGCUCCUGGAAGUACUUUCUUCCUCUUAUUCUCUUCAAGAUUUGAUCCAGUGACAUGGUGAGUUGCGGUAGCGGUUUUGGUGGUGUUAGCUUUCUUGGCGAAGUAUCUCUAUCCUCUCUCCUUUCUCUCUUGUCCUAACCUCUCGAUCCAUCUCUGUUUCCCCUUCUGCCAGAAUCUCUUGGUGGUGUAUUACUUCGUGAGCCAACUUCUCCUUUCUUUCUUUUUUCCGCCACUGUGUUUACGGAAGCCAACAACACCUUGGGAGCUCUCCGCAACGCUAUGUCUUCUAGUCUGAUGUAUUUCUCUGUCUUCUGGAAAAGUUCAUCUAGAGUCGCCAUCCGUGAUGACACAAUCGAGUCAUAGGCUGGAGAUUUCUUACUUAUGCCUUUCUGAAAUGCUACCACUGCUGUUCUUUCAUCUACUCCGCCAUCUGUUCUCAAAAUCUCAUUUUUGAAAUUAGUAACAUAUUUUCUAAGAGACUCACCUGGAGCUUGUUCCAAAUCAAACAAUGAUGCUAUAUCUGCAGCCUGCCUCUUCUGAUGAAUAUAGUGCUUCACAAACAUCUCACUUAGCUGAGCGAAGCUUGACACACUCCCUGGUGAUAAACUGAGAUACCAGUCUGUAGCGUUGUCCUUCAAACUGCUAGGGAAUAAUCGACACCACAUCCCGUCAUACUGACUUCCUUCCCAAGCCGCCAUCUUUUGCUUGAAAUUGUUUAAGUGCUGUACAGGGUCAGUUGUUCCAUCAUACUCAUUAAACUUAGGAGGUUGAAACUUACUUGGGAACCCAUGACGGUAGCACACUUCAGCUAAUGGCCUCUUGCCCAAUCUCUCCAGGUCUUGAGUCACUUCUAUGUUCUUUCCCUUAGUCUGCGCCCUCAUGUCCUCUUGGACCUUGCAUAUCAUAUCGAAAAGUCUGGUGUACGGAUCAGCCGCCGGAAUCUCUUCAUCGUUCACUCCUUCCUUUCGAUUUCCUUCGCGAACUCUUACCCUUGAUUCAUCUGACCCUUCUUCUUCAUUCACUCUUAGAUCUGGAAUCCGACGCCUUACUCCUCCUUCCCCUUCUCCUAGUAUUAUUCCCUCCAUAGGUCUCUGAUGGUUUUCAUUUCUGACCGCCUCAUUCUCUCCCUCCUGAAGAUUUUGACGUUCCAUAUCUUCCAUCCUUCUUAGUUGCUCCCUCAAUCUGGAGUUCUCUUCCCUCAGCCUGUUCGUCUCUUCUCUUCCUUCUUGGAGAGUUUGAGGAUGAUCAACUUGAGGAGCUUCUCCCCCAGCUGCACCUCCAAGAUAUGUUGAUGAUCUGGUUUGUGUCACCAUCACUCUCUAUUUGCUUCUUUCAACCUUCUUCUCAAAACCCUAGAUUUGGAAGCAGUAUGCCCUUCUUCUAGCGCCAAAUCUAAGCCCUUUCCUUUAUGAGCUUAGUUGAGUUCCUUACUGCUUCACCGCUACUACCUGCAAUGACCACCGGACAAUGACCGGUGGAUAAAGCUCCAACGAUCAAGUCAGUAAGCGGCUAGGUUUAGAAAAUAGGUUUUAGCAAGGAAUGAACAGUUACCUUUAGCGAACCCUAACGCGAUCCUUUUAUAGCGAUAUUCACCGCCUUCCUUUAACCGUAGGAUCCCCCUAUGCAUCCUAUGGUUCUCUCAUCUCCUACGUGUUUCAUUCUCCAUCACAUACUAUAAGGUGAAUGCUUGACAGCCAGACAUCACGUGCUCUAUCCGUGAUACUCUAGAAUGUUCUGUAUUCUGAUUGGGUACCUCCCGGUUUGCUCUCCUUAUCUGGCUCCUGUGUCCUCAAUGUUCCACCUAGCAUGACUUGGUACUUACACAUAGUUCUUGAAGUUCUGAUGAAUUUAUAUUUCUUAUGAACUGAUUGGUUAUUCACGAUCAAUGCUAAGGUAAUAUUAGCCACUUUGGUGAAAUCUAUGAAGAGCGUGUUUUGCAACUUUCUUGUUGAAAUUAGCGUUUGCAUGUCAAUUGUGUAUGAAAUGAAGAGUGGCUUUUUUGCAAGAAGCUUGAAAAGUAGUUGCUAUUAGGUAACUGGGUGUCAACUGUGGUUCUCUUAUUAAUGCAGGAAUGGUGAUGAUCCAGAUAUUCCGCCAGUUGCAACUGGUUCUCACAUUGAUGCUAUUCCAUACUCCGGUAAAUAUGAUGGUGUUGUUGGUGUUUUGGGUGCUAUAGAAGCUGUAAAUGCGUUGAGAAGGUGAGUGACUUGCCUGAAUGAUUAUACUACAGAUUCUUUAGAUUAAAAAUUAAUCGCAUGCAAGUUUAAUACCUAUAUCUCCAUAUUGUUUCCUCAUAUGCAAUUUGCUAAAUUUGUGUGAGACAUCCCUUGUAUGUUUUUGUGUUUCAGUGGGAUUUGAUAUUGUAUUUUGUAUAUGUAUGUUAGCAUGACAUAAUAGGCGGAGAUCUUAAUUCUGCUGUGUCUUUGUACUUCUUGUAAUGCCAUUUUGUCUGACAGAAAUCCAUUGGCAAUAUUGUGAAAGCUCCAAUUACUGAAUAAAAGAAAUCAAACUAACUCACAAUUUCAAGCGGUUAAGGUUUUCUAUUUUGAAAUGUAAUGGGAGGCUUUUUUCAUCUGACUAUCUGAGAGAUCUAAUUUUCAUUAUCUGUUUGAAAAUAUGUAUGCAGAAUGUCAAUGUUUCAUUAAUAACCACCAUAGGGAGUUCACUAUUACCACUUAUUCAAAUCUGGUUCACAGGUCUGGAUUUAAACCCAAGAGAUCUUUGGAGGUGAUCUUAUUUACAUCAGAGGAGCCUACACGUUUUGGAAUCAGUUGCUUGGGAAGGUCAGAUACUAGACUGCCGUAUUCCUUUGGGUUAUACUCUUAAAUAAGAUCGCAUAGAGUAUAAUAACGCUACUUGCUUAUAUUCAUUAACUCAUGCAUCUAAAGAGAUCUGGAGGUAUUCUCUUCUAAUUAGGUGUAAGACUCUACUUUUUUAUCCCAACUGCAGCCGCUUGUUGGCAGGGAGCGAGCCUCUGGCAGAUGCUCUCAAGGGGUCAGUGGAUGGCCAAAAUGUAUCAUUUUUUUAUGCUGCAAGAUCUGCUGGUUAUGCACACGAUCAGGAUAACUUGUCCAGUGUGUUCCUAAAGAAAGGAAGCUAUUCGGCUUUUCUAGAGUUACACAUAGAGCAAGGUCCCCUUCUUGAAGAAGAAGGUACUUUUCUCUUUGCCAAAAAAACAUUCUUGCUCCCCAUUUAUGUUGCUGUUGCUCAUUAGAAAAUCAAUAUCAGGUACUUCUAUUGGUAUUGUAACUGCCAUUGCUGCACCUGCAAGUAUCAAGGUGGAUUUUGAAGGCAAUGGAGGCCAUGCAGGGGCUGUCUUAAUGCCAUAUAGGUUGCGAAUUCAUCCCAUUGCCCUAAUUCUCUUCUAUCAUUCUCUAAAACUACAGUGUAUAUAUAUUAUAGUUUAUUUUUACUUACAGGGUCUAAUAGCAAUAUAAGACUCAGUAGCCUACUAAGUUUGAGCAAGCACGCUCCGCACCGACAAAUGAAUAAAAAAUUGGUGCAUUUGCUUAUCGUCAGUGAGUAUUUUUAUUAUUGUAAUGUGAGCAGAAAUGAUGCGGGGUUGGCAGCUGCAGAGUUGGCAUUGGCUGUUGAGAAACAUGUAUUAGAAUCGGGAUCAAUUGACACAGUUGGUACUGUAGGUAUGCGCCAUUCUUUAUCUCUUUUAGGUAUUUAAAAUAACUUGUUCUGCAUCAAAUUUCGUGACUAUCAUAUAAUCUGUAGUUUGGUCACUUGUACACUAAGCUAGCCAGUAAUUGUUCUUAUCCAAUCCAGAAAAGUUGCUGUAAAAUAAUGGGCAUUGUUUCAAGAAUUCUCUAAUUUUCUUAUAUGUCAAUCCUAUCUUUGCAAGGAAUUCUGGACCUUCAUCCAGGAGCGAUCAAUAGCAUCCCCAGUAAGGCACACAUAGAAAUUGGUAUGCUUUCUGUCGAUGGUUUUCAAGCUUUUUCCUGGAAUUGUUUUCUUUAAAUAGUAGCUUUGUACCAUAUGUUUUAAAUUGCCCCUCUUCCUCAUUUUAAGUGUGUGAAAUGAGAUUCCAUGCAUGUGUGUUUCUCAAAUAUUCUGGUGUAAAUUUCUUUUAUCAAACACCUUAUGCUUACCUGACAGAUACACGGGACAUUGACGAGAAACGGAGGAACAGCGUAAUAGAAAAAAUUCAUCAUUCUGCAAUUACUAUAGCCAAGACACGUAAGGUCAAGCUGUCAGAAUUUAGAAUUGUCAAUCAAGAUCCUCCUGCAUUGUCAGAUGAAUCAAUAAUUAAGGCAAUGGAAGAUGCAUCAGAAGAACUUAACCUUACUCGCAAAUUGAUGAUCAGCCGGGCCUACCAUGAUUCAUUGUUUAUGGCCAGGUAAUUUGACGUUUUUAACUGUGAUGGUUAAUAGGAUUAUUUCUUGACAUGAUUGUAAGCUCUUGUUAAUCUAAACAUGGGUAAUUUGAUAAACACGAGUAUACUUGAAACCUAGAGCUUUCCAUGAAAAUGCUACAGUGAAACCUCUAUUAAUGAAUAGCCUUAGGACCAAAAAAAUAUACAUCCUAAGCGAGGUUAUUCAUUUUUUGAACACUAAAGUACAAAUGCUUGAACUGGGACCGGAAAAAUUUGUUACUUAAGCGAGGUUAUUCAUUUAUCGAGGUUUUAUUGUAUAUAGAAAAUUUGUAUUCAUUCACUUGCUUUGAAAUGCACAUACUACUGCUAAUUAUGCAUAAGUUCAUCUUGCAGAGUUUCUCCAAUGGGCAUGAUCUUUAUUCCAUGUUACAAAGGUUUGUCCUUCAUUCUACCAUUUGUUGUAUCUCUUGAUCUUUUCCUAUUGCAAUGUUGAAAAGGAAGCAGUUUUCUGCAAGUUACAUUGGUGCUCAAAUCGAGAAUGAAAAUCAGGAAAGAGUAAAAAGGAUUCCCACAGCACAAUAGCAUGUACAUCAUUCCUAUUUUUGACAAUAGCAUAUGCAUCAUAAUGUUCUGACUGUAAUAGACCAAGUUGCAUAAAUCUCACACACACGUCUGGGCAACGUUUUUUUUUCAGCGACUUAAUCAAAUUGUUUUCUUAAAAGUUAAUUUCUUUUCUGUUGGGCUCCCUUUCACCACAUGCUUUGUUUCAAACUGCUGAAUUCAUCACUAAUUGUUUUUUAUUGCACCGCUACCCAAUGAUGGGUUCCCCGAUUCCGGCUUGUAUGCUUAAAAGUUUGUUGUAAAGCCUUACAAUGCCCUGUGAGGCCCACUCCUAGUCGACCAAAUACUGUAAUACCUAUACAUAUGUGGACCUUUCCACUUUUAUCUAAUAGGAUAUGUGUACACGAGUUGAACGUUGCGUUCAAGCAGAAUUGCUGGGGUAGAAUCAAGGAGUCAGAACUGGUAUAUGCGAGCACAGUGAUUUCUGUACCUUUUUUUUAUGUAUGUUGGCAUUUGACUACAUUUUCUUACAGACGCACAACUAUGACUGUUUGUAGCAGCUUUGCUUCAAAAUUCAAGUCUAGGUAUUAAGAUAACUAUGGGCUUUGCAGGUUAUAGCCACAAGCCUGAAGAAUAUGCCUCCAUCGAAAAUAUUGCAGAUGGGGUGAAGGUAUUAGCGCUGACAAUGGCCAAGUUAUCCCAGAAAUGAUGACGUAUCUUGGAUCAGGCCAUGGCUUCCACCUGUCACAUAUUCUGUAAAAGGCCAGGUCUGAUUUACUCUGUACUAAUGUAAAUUUUACAAACGUUGAAAACUUGAAAUGCCACAAUUCUCUUAUAUUUGUGGAUUGUUAUCAUCCUUUUCCACUUAGAUCAAAAUUGUGUUGAUUACAAAUUAGUAUUCACACAUCUCUGUUGAUCAAAAGUGAAACUGUACUGGUAGCGAUACUCACAACUGUAUGAGACAACAGCCACAUCUUGAUGUCAUCGGUGCCUUGCUCUGUUGCACACAUACUGUGUAUUCCUAAACACUUCCAUGCAAGAGCUCUGCUGACUGAUUUUUCCAUCAUGGGUUUUGCACAUUAUGAUUUAGGAGCAAUUGGACACAGAACAAUAGUUUAACUGGAAAAAUAAUAUAGGUUUCUGCCAUUUGUUUAAAGCUGAAUUCUGGACUUCAGGUAGUUGAGAACUUGAAAUGUCCUUGCAUUGCUUAUUUUCUUUUAUUACCUUUGGAAGGUAAUAAUUUUUUUGCCAACCAAAUCAAUUUUAAUCUAAGUUAAUGUUCCUUAAGAAUCUAGCUAAAUAUAUUCUACAAGAAAAAUAUGUUCACUUGUCAAUGUUCCUUGAGAAUCUAGCUAAAUAUAUUCUACAAGAAAAAUAUGUUCACUUGUCGGAAAAUAUCCAUUUUGUAAUAGUCCUAGGAUACAAUUUGUUUUCAUCAAUGUUAAAUGUUAAAGACUUAAAGUGCUUGAUGUAUUGGAUGAGAAAGCAAAGCCAAGGAUCAUGAAAAGCUAGAUACUGCCUCUCUUUAUGUUAAGGAACAUGACCAUGUGAAGUAUGGAGGCUUAAAGAAUAUGGGCCUUUUUCUGGGCUUCUCAAAGUUAAUGGGGGGUGCAUAGAUAAGAUAUCCGUUGAUAUCCGUAAAUAUCUAGCAAUUAUAUCCGGUUUUCUGUGAAUCCGAUAUUCGGAUGGGAGACUCCGAUCACAACAAGUUGAUGAUAAACAAGCAUUUUAUGUCCGCCUCCUCGUAUCUCUAGGUUUUUUGACAUGAUUUCAGCUUACCUAUGGAAAAGACAACAAAAUUAGAAAAGAAUAUGAUCUUGUGUUACACCAAACGACAAGUAGAACCAAAACAAUGGUUAAUGUGAUGAUUAUAGAAGAGACUAAUAUACAAAGCUAUAGACAUGGAUGCAUGAAAAAAGUGGUUAUAUUCCAUUAGAAGCUGUACAUUGUUUACCAACCAGAUUUUUCUAAUAAAAAGCUAUAAACCCUACUUACCAAAGGAAUAUAAAGAAACAUUAAUCUAUGAAGCAGUAGAUGCUGCAACAAAAAUAUGUUCAAAAGAUUUCAAUUCAUGAAUCUAAAUAUCUAAUUGUAUGGUUAGUACAUAAUUAAACAAGUAAUAUAGACAUUCUUGUUAUAUUAUUUUCUAUUUUCGAGACCUGUAAACAAGACUUGGACCCAUGACAUGAAGUUUCUCGACCAUUUCCUCCAUAAACUUUUAAAAAUGUUGGAGAAACUAAAAUCAAACUUAUGCAAAAUGCUUAAAAACAAGUCAUAUACCAAUAUAUACGAUAUAGUCAAGGCUAUGCAAUGGUUUAUGGUUAUCAACUAAUCAUGCUUUAAAUCUUUAGUUCUUAUAAUAAUAAUUAAUUUAAAAUCAAAUUGUCAUUGGAGCAUGAAAAUUGCAACUUUUUUUAUAAUUAAUGGUUACUUAUCUAAAAAUAAAGGGUUUGUCCUGUUGGGUCACAAAAAAAUAAAUAUAUACAAGUGUGACAUACUACUGACAUAGAAGAUUGCCGGCGUUUCAAUUUUUUUAAUGUGCCACUAUCAUGAAAUAUAUUUUAUAUUUAAUGGUAUAAUGCAUUAGUACCCGGAGAUGUUUCAUUGAAAAAUUAUCUAUUUUACUAACAUGUAUGGAUUUAUCAAAGUUUAAUGUAUAGCAAAUUAUAUGACAGAUUUACCAAAAAAUGUUAGGUUGUUCUUAAGCAAUUUUCUGCCCUUUUUUUUUUUCUAGGUAAGGAUCAUGUAUAUUUUCAUGUUAGUAAUGAUUUAAAUGCAGCCAUCAGUUGAAGGGAAUGUGGUGUUUUAAUUUAUUUGAUUUGAUCUGGGACCAUCUGAUGAUCAGAGUUGGGACCAUCAUAUCAGAUAUGCUUCACCUAACACUAUUGAAAACUUAUUACAGUGAAGGCAGCAUAUGCAUCGUGUGUGUUUUGCGGUGUGCCAUCAUGUUCAUUGCCCCACAAUCAUUCUCUUCACGUUUAAGAACCAGCAGCAGAUGUGUAUUCUUACUAACAUAGACCCACUUCGCAACCUUCAUUCCCUUUCUUUGGCCCACAAUCGAGUUCUCUAGCUUUUUUUCUCUCUAGCUAAAUCACCAAGCAAACAGAGAAUUUGAAUUUCAUGUUAUCAGAAUAUUAACAAACUGGCUGCAAGCUUUUGUAUCUCUCAGAAUAACUCCAUUCAAGCUUAUGUAGUUUUAGGUUUAUUGGUUGCACUUUUAUGUGCAACCAUCACAUUGUUAGUAUAUUGAACACGUUUUUGUCGAUUUAACCUUAUGGAUAGCACCUUACUAUAAAUUGGCGCACAUAAAUUAAAGUUAUCCAUGAUUACAACAAUAAUUAAUCGAGUGUACUUAAUUGAGCCAUCGGACAAGUGUUACAUCACAUUCCAGAUGAAGGAGAUUACGGAGUUCCCAUAGCACUGCCUAGAGCAUUUUUGGUCUUGUAAUCAUUUAGUUCUAAGGACCGAUAUAUAUCAAUAUCCUUUCUAAAAACUAAUAAGUUUGGCCCCAAUAACCUUUUGGGUGAUGUUACAAGCAGUGAUGUGGUAUUGUACGUGGUUAAGCAAAGCGAGACAGUGAGCUUACAUGUAUAUCUAGCUAUGUAUUAGCUUAUGUGGCGUGUGAGGCAAUAAGAGUUGAGCUUCCAUUAGAUUGUUUAACGUACACCUUUUAGCUAUUAGGGUUGUAGUGCUUAGUGUGAUCUUCAUAAACAACCAUUCAUGUUGUAUUGUUGUUUAGAAGUCUAGUUAGCUAAAGCAAAAUCAAACUCAGUACGUAUAUAUAUAACUACAUAUAUAUGAUGAUUUAUCAAUAUGUACUACUAUGGUGCCAUCAAUUAUAGUGGAAGGAUAGAGGCUUGUCGACUUGUCGGUGAGGUAAGUCAAAGUGCAAACAUUAGUUGUUCAAAUGUUGAUUAAAAAUGAUCCACGGUUUAGUUUAAAUUAACUUGAUCUUGAUCAGUGUUAAAAUGUUCAAAACACUUUGGCCCCAUUGACUCACAACAAGAUAAUCUGCUUAUCAGUUUCACUUUCUUCAGUCCCACAAAUCUCAUAAAUCUUUUGUUUGGUCUUAGUCGAGUAUAGAAUUUGAAAUUGUCAAGUAUUAAUCGUCAAUUUUGUCGGCUGCACUGUCAAUUCAUUCUUCCCUGGUGUUUACUUCUUUGCCAGUGGUUUUUAUAUAUAUUUACAGAUCAAACUGUGUAACACCGAUAAUGCACGCCAACAAAAUCCCUAGAUUAAUUUAACUAACCUCAAGUGCCAAUUAAAGAUUUAGUAACUCGAUCAAAUGUGGUUAUUCCAAUCAAAUAAUCAGAUCCACUUUAUGGCAGAUGUGUACAUAGAGUUAUUAGUUGUUUCAUUUGAUUACCAUAUCCAUGCUCCAAUCCUCCAACCUCCAACAAUAUAUAUAUAUAUAUCAGCUUUAUGUAUUGGCAUUUCAACAACCAGUAUAGACUAAUAGAAGAGAGUAUACAGAUAGUUCACCAACACAACUACACAAGCAACUCGUGUACAAACCACACAUUAUAUUGUUGGGCUCAUCAUGAAAUAAUGUUUCUAUGUAAGAUUAUUAAUGGUUGCAGAGGUUAUAUAUAUGUAAUAUAAUUUAAAGCCAAGGACCAAGGUAGGACCAUUAGGAAGCUAGAAGGAGAUGACAGUGCUUUAUCACAAGGUUGAAGUGAUAAAAUCAAUGUGGACCUUCUAAUUAAACACUAUAAUUAGUGUUAUGGAUUAGAAGUAGCUCUUCUUCCUCUGUUUAAGCUGAAACACCAACAUCUAUCUAUCACUGAUCACUCCACCUCUUAAGCUAAUUAGGCCUACACGGAUUUGACGAUGGGCCAAUAAAUAAAUAUUCAUCUUUAUUUAAUAAUAAUAGAGAAUUAAAUACGACCUCACGUUUGAAACCAUAUAAGACCUGUUGAUGGUGAUAUUCAAAUUUUUUCGUCAUUCUCUCUUUCUCUUUCUUCUUUCUUCCCACCUUUUCUUUUCAAAGAUAUAAUUGAAAUUUGAAUAACAUGACAAAAAGAUAUCCUUAUCUGCUUUUAGCUAUACCUAAAACGAAUCUUAAUAUAGAAUUUCCUUAGUGCAUGAUUGUGCUAUUAUGUUUAUACACCACCUUUAUAUGGUGGUCAACAACUACUUUUCCCUAACCUCAAAUAUCUAAACACACAACUAAACUACUAAAGUUAAUAAUGCUCUUAAGCAGCUCAAUUCUGUUAAAAGCUACAGAUUUCAAUAUGCUUUCAUAACUCAUCAUCUUAAACUUAUGUCUUCCCUAUUUUCAGAACAUUUUACUCGAUUCUUGCCAAUGAUGCUAUAUAUUAUCAAAAAAUAAUUAAGUUUCAUAUACCAAAUUUAGAACGAUAAACACUAUAUUAUCCACAAAGUUUUAUAGGAUGAUAAUUCCAUAAUAACUUGGUAAUUAUGUUUUUGCCAAUUAACAUGAACUAUGGUAUGGGGGUAAAAUGGUAAAUUGACAAGCAAGUGAUGUUAUGUACUUAUGUCAUAUGUGUCACCUUAAGAGAAACUCCGACAAACAGUAAUAAAAGAAAGUAAUGGUAUCUGAAAUUUGUCAUAAAAGAAGUUACACGCAGAUUCGAACACACGACCACCUGCCGGUAAAACUUUAAAAAGACAUUCUUCCCCGCUUAUAAUUUUCGAAAUUACACCGUUACUUUCUUUCACGAUUUUCGAACAAACACCGUUAAGUAACUAACGCUGUUAGUACCAGACUACACACAACAGUUGUAUAUAAAAACCCCAAAAAACCAGAAACCGAGACAGUUUGAGAGAGAGAGAGAGAGAGAGACGGGUAGCGUUAAAGGUGGGAGGUUAUCUUAACAACGUUUUAGGUGAUUAGAUAAAGGCGAGAAGCUCGAGAUCUUACCAGAUCGGAGAAGAAAUUGUAAGAAUUCUUUCACAUUUUUCUUCAUUUUGAUGUUUUAGUUUUGAUUUAUGUUGAUUGUUGUUGUUGAUAAUGCUUUGAAUGUGAUUCAAUCGGCUUAAAGAUGUGAGUUUGAGAUUUCUGUUUGAAGAUCUGUGUUUGAGUUUGUGAUUUGGUUAAAUUUGCUACAUUUCUAUGAUUUUUGUUCAAAUCGAUUUGAGAAAUGAGGAUCUUUGCACAUUGUUUGAUGUUUUGCUGUUCUGUUGGUUGUAGCUUGCAAAAUUAUUUUGAUCUGUUGAUUGAAGAGUGUUUUCCCUCUUCUGUUUUUUUAUAUGUUGAGGACUUAGGAAGAUGUUUUGCAUGUGUUUUGUUUUAAUCAAUUGCUGUUAGUUGACGAGCAAAAUCUGCAGAUAAAAUCCUUGAUUUGCAAGCAAUAAGAAAAUUAUUCUAAUAAACUGUUUUUGUUAUUUUUUUUUUUUUUGUUCGGGAAUCUAUGUAGCUUUUGCUUAGAACUAAGAUUUUUAAAAUGGAAAGCUAGGAGAAGUUCAUCCAAAGUUCCAAACAAUUAAAAACAUGGAGAAUAUAUGCAUUGUAUGACUUUUGUGAAUUCUCUUUUGCAGUUCUAUGGGAAGAGAAGUUACAGACAUUUGCAUGGACAAAGAACCAGAUCCUGCGGUGAUUUACUCGAAUGGUGCUGCACAUGAUUCUGGAAAUGAGCAUCAUGAGCUAACAGAGACUGGUGAGAAUAUUAAUGGAGAGGUGGAGGAGAAUGGUGAGUUAAAGGACUAUGAAGUUAAAGAGUGCACUACAGAGAGUCCAGUUGAGUCUCCCGAGUCCGUGGUUGAAAAUUGUCAGGAGGAACAAGAUGCUCUCUUUGUUAAAGCCACAGAUACUGAGGCUCCAUUCCAUGAGUGUGGAAAGGUUAAACCUGGAGGCUCAAAAUCAGACAAUAACAAGAAGUCAGGCAAAUCUGCUGCUAUGGGAAAUGGGAGAUCAAACUGCACUGUUCCACAGCCGUUUUCCCUGGCUACUGAAAAGCGUGCUUCAUAUGGAGCUCGUCCUGCUGGGACUGAAACUGCUGUGGUUGGGACAAACAAAGCAACAAAUCUGCAAUCCCCUAAUACUGCAAAGGUAUCCCAGGUAAAUUACAAAUUUUUUCCUUGGCUUUAAAUUCAUAUACGCUGCAUUACCUGUAAUGUAUGUAUUAUGGGCGAAUAAAAUUGUUUAUUUUUGGUAUUGGUGUAUGCUUGCUUCAUUUUUUAUCUUCUUUUGCUCAUUGGAGGUUUGCAUCUAUUAGUCGUGUACUCAUGCAUUUAUUGCCAGACUGAUGUUCAGUUCCAUCAAAUUUCAUACUUAUCUUUGUCACAUGUUGCAGCCAAGAAUAUUUGCUUGAACUUUCUUUCAACAUCUUUUGAUGCUUCCUUUUUGUUAAUACACUACUAACUAUUAUAUCAACUGAAAAAUGGGGGGAGAUUAGUAAUAAAAACAGGUUAGCAAUUUAAACGUGUUGACUGUUGAAUGCACAAUGCUUGACAGAUAAGCCUUUUCACACUCUUCCACUGCUGGGACUAAAACAGAACAAUGUCUUUUGUUUCUUAGUACUCUUCUGGAUCCAUGGUACAAUCAAUUGUUUUGCGUCUUGGUACUUCAUCUGGAUUUCCAGUAGAAGUCUCAAAAGAUGACAACAUGAUAAUUAAACGCUUAUGGAGUAGCACUGUGGCAUAAAACUUCACAAAUAGUUGUUUUUAAUAUUGAAGAUCAUCAUUGAUAAGGGUUUCAAUUAAGUGAUGUACACCAUAUGAAAGCAUUUAGUUUUAUUUGGUGGCAAACUUCCCCCCUUUAAUGGUUCAAUGCCAUUGUAGUCCAGUGGACCUCUCUUGCCCUUGUAAAUUAUGUGUCAUUAUUUAGCUAUGUAGCUUAAUCUUAUAGAUAUAUUGUGCUUACCCGAAUGGGAAAAUAUAGCGUAGAUGAGAAAUUGUUACAAGGACUUGAUGGCUUGUAGGACGAGAGGCCCCACUAUACUACAAAUAUAUGAAAAGGCAACAGAAACACACAAGAAGAAUCACACAAAAGUAUCUACAUCCAAGCAUCUUGUUUAAGAAAAUACUUUAGAUAAUCGACUCUCCAUAGUAGUUGCUUUGUUCUUGGAAGUGUUAUACUGUAUUAGGCCCCAACCAAAGACCCCUCAUGAUAGCAACAGGUACCAGUCUUUCCAGUUUACGCCCUUUGCUAAGGAAUGUUAUUUAGAAGACCAGGAUGCUAAAAGAGCUUUUAAUUGAUCAUAUUUUCAUAUAUUUAAAGUAAGGACUUACUGCCAGGGAUGUGUAUGAAAACAUUGCAGUUCUCUCCCCUCUCCAUACAUUCUAUUUUAUACUGAUUAGAACUUGUGAUUUGUUGCAGGUGCGCUCCUCAGUGGAGUCUAGGAAGCCACUGCAACCUGAUAACAAAAAGCAUCCUGAUGAAGAUGAUACACGCUCUAUUGCUUCCUCGUAUCCUCUUUUUAGUCCUGAAUAUGCAUAAGUUGAUUCCUUAAUUUCAUUUCUUCUUUAAACCAACAUUUAUUGCAUUUGAUUAUCCUUAACCAUGCAUAGAACUACAUCUGUGAAGACUUCAAAAUCCAGGACCACUAUUGCUGCUGCUCCAAAAUUUAGAUGCACAGAGCGUGCUGAUAAGCGGAAGGAGGUACCAGAUUUCUUAACUAAUUAUGUUCACACACAAAAACAAAAUAAAAAUUACUUAAAAAUGUGAUGCAUAAAGCACGAUUUUUUCUGCUGUGUGUUUCUAUAUUUUUGUUUCUCUAAUCACUUGUAUUUUCUUUAGUUCUACUCGAAGUUGGAGGAGAAGCAUCGAGCUUUAGAGGCAGAAAGGACCCAGUGUGAAGCUAGAACUAAGGCAUGUUCUUUUGUUGACACUGAAGAUUGUCACUUUCUUUGCAUGUGUGCUCUGCUGCACACUUAUUAUACGUCUGUUUCGGAUUUAAUAAAAUUAAAAUAUAAUAGUGGUAAUCUCUUCUUCUUUCUUAUAAAUCUUACAUUCUUCAGGAAGAGCGAGAGGCAGCUCUGAAGCAGCUGAGGAAGAGCUUGACAUUCAGAGCAAACCCAAUGCCAACUUUUUACCAAGAGGGGCCUCCACCUAAAGUUGAACUUAAGAAGGUAAAUCCCUACUUCUAGAACCAGCAGAUUAAGAAAAUAUAAGCCUGUGAAUAGUAAUGCAAGAAGAAUGGAUUUGAUUUGUAUAUAGUGUUUCAUUGUACUCUCUGGGUUUUAAACUAGUUGUUUUCUGUUUCCUUUCUCGGGUGUAAUCUCAGUUGCCAACUACUCGUGCAAAAUCACCCAAGUUAGGCCGGAGGAAGAGUUACAGUGAUGCAGUUGACUCUACACAAGGUGACAAUGAAAAAGCAGCCGUUGCUCGAGUGAAUCGUCACAGUUUGGGUAGUAACAGAAAAGACAGUGCAAGUAUUACCAACAAGGAUCAGUUUAAUGGCCGGAAUGGUAAUGCAGCUUUCAAAGCUAAAAAUGAUCCUAAACAAGUGAAGGAGGCCACAAAGCCUGCUUCUCCCAAAAUUGCUGAGCAGAGCGAUGCGGACAUCGCUGUUCACUCUCCUCCUAAAAUAGCUGAGCAAAGCAAUGUGGACAUCACCGUCCAUUCUUAAGGUUUUGGUGAGUAUUUAUUUUCCAAAAAGGAAACAGAGUUUUUUAUUUUUCUUUCUUUGGCCAUGGGAUAUCCAAGCUUAAAAAGUGUAGCAGACUUGUGUUGGUGGUUUGUAAUUGUAUGAUAAAUGAUGUAAAUGUUCUGUAAGUUAUAUCCUUCUAUAUAUAUAAAGAGUUAUAUGCACUUAACCCAAUUAUUCAGCCCCUUUAUAAGCCAAAUACUAUUGUCAGACCCUCGUAUACAAGUUCUCCUUUCAAUGCCAACAAGAAGAAGGUGGUGUGAGUGCAAGCUUGCUAACUGAGCUGCCUUAGUGGUGGUUCUCUUUUCAUGUACUGAUUUCAUUUAUUGUAUUACAUUUGCUUUUGUUGUACAAGUUUGUUGUUAUCUUGUGCAGUUUCCUGCCUUUUGGUAAGAACUAUUUGUGGUAUUCAAUAAUUUCCUACCAGAUGAGACAACACAAGCCAGGUUAUCAACUUAUACUAAUACACUAGUUGUCGUAUGUUGUAAACAAUGGUGUCCUAAAUACUGAUUAGAACCAAGCAUUUCAUGGACACCAGAGUUUAUUUUCUCCUAGGGUUUCUCUCUUCUUUCUCUUUUGUUAGAUUCAAAUCAAACAUAGUUUUCUUCUUCUUCAAUGGCAGAAGAAGUAUAUUCAUCAACAAAGAGUUACUUCUGCCUGUAUCUGUAGCUCUGCUAUCUUGGAACUUAACUGCUAAGCAUUAUACAAAGACAUUAAAGCUUAUGUAUUAGAUCAGAGCAUGACCAUUACAGCUUAGUUGUCUAAUUUUAUUUCUAUUCCCCUAUCAUCUUCAUUCUUGAAGCCAUGGAAGUUACUAUAAUACUCACAAAAGUUAGAAUUUGAAGUUUAUAACAAUUUUCAACAGAAAUACAAUUUGCUGACAGACAAAAUCUUUGCUAUGGAAAUACAGAGGAUAUAACAUAAAGCUAGAAUCAUAAGAUAAAAAUUAUAUUAAGUACAAUACAUGCAGAUGGUGAGCCAACAUUGAACAUUGUAUACUUCUCUAGAUUUUACGCAUACUGGAUUGAUAUGUAGACAGAGUCAUGAAAACUUCCUACUAUAUGUUUAUCAUUCAUCAUAACCACCAAUACUUCUCUUAAACAUAAUGUAUCAUAAAUAAACUACAUGGAUCAAUCAUCAAAGUAACAUAUAUUAUAUUAAUUGAUCUCAAAUAAAAAAAACAGUCUCCGAAAAAAAAUAUAGUGAAACGUGGGGAAAAAAAAGAAACAAAAAUAUAAGUCAAUAGAGGGAGCUAUUGUUGAUCAAAUGUCACCAAAAAAAAAAAAUUCCAACUUGAUCAAAUGUUUACUAGUAGUAUAUCUAUAUUCUCCUUCACAUAAUCAAUUGAUUAGUUAUUAGUUAAUCAAUCUUGGAAGCCAGUUUGUUCCCAAAUUGCAUUUCUCACUCUUCUCAAAUCUCUACCUUUAAGAGUUCUACCUCUUCCUUCAUAAACAGAGAAUGAAGAAGCAAUCUCAAUUCUCUUCAUUUGUCUUGCUAAUAAGUACUCAUGAGGAGGAAUCAUAUACUCAUUACCACCACCACCACCACCACCAUCUUCAUCACCAUCAUCAUCAUCAUCUUCAUCUUCAACAUCUUCAUCACUCUGUCUUCUUCGAUUAUUCUCUUCCUUAAGAAUUUUCGACCAAUCAGGUAUACUUACUGGUAAAGAUUUCGCAACCCCACCACUUAAAACACCUUGAUCUUGAUGAUCCAUCUUCUUCAUUGAUGAUUUCCUUGAAAUUCGCGAAGUAGGUAGUAUUGAUUUCUUUGGAGAAUUUGAUAAAGAAUUAUUCCAAAUAUCAGCUUCAUCAAAUUCAAAAACGGGUUCAACAGAAUUACUACUAAUAAAUUUCUUCUCAUUAGUAAGAAAUCUAUAACUCUUUGCAAAAGACAUUUAAUGGAGAAAAACGUUGCUUUCUUCUAACUUUUUGCUCUGAAAACUCUGUUUCUCUUUCUCUAAAAACGCGUUUUUUUUUUUUUUUGGUUUGCACUUCUCUUUCCGCUUCUCUUUUAUAAAAAACAAAUAGAGAAAUGGAUAAGAUUUUCUCUUUCUUCUGCCAGCUACUUUUUGUCCUAUGUACACGUAUUUUUCGUUUUUAUAUGUAUUUGACUGAAAUACGGUUAGAUACAUUUUAUUUAUGUAUUUUAUUCGCGUUUUAAUGGACCGGUUCGGGCUUUUUCUUGUAUCUACCCAGUUUUAUUUUCUAGAUUCAAUAACCAAUAUUAGCUAAUUUUUUC
rnacentral:lncRNA from 1 species